UUUUUUUUUUUUUUUUUUUUUUCUUUUUUUUCUCUUGAAAAAAAAAUGAGAAAGAUUGAAAUUACAAUAUUCGACCCUAACAACUACUCUACAAGCUCUUUAGACAGGUAGGAAUUUUUUUUUGUUUUAAAAAAAAAAAAAAACAAGGGUAGGGAGAAAUAUUUAGGUUAAAGAAACAAGAAAGGUUCACAUUCAAGGCUCAACAGGGCUAACUAGGGAAAAUCAUAAUAAUGGUUGGCUUGAAAGGCUCAAACGAGAGAAACAAAUGCCUUAUCACUUCCAAGUUUGUUACAUGAAUUGAUGAGUGUACCAAGAGGUUUAAGGCAAGUUCUAGAAAUGCAAAUAAAAUGAGACCAUUCACACAAGUAUAAAUGAGAGUGACACAUAAUAGUUCAAUCUUGAAUAGGCUCAAAUGCUCACAAGGGUUAAACAAGUCUCACAAAAUCCACAUAAAAGUCUCUAUAUCAUGAAACUGUCAUAUUAACAUGGUUAAUGUGCUCAAGAAUUUUCAAGGAAAGUCAUGUCAAUUAGAGCCAAUAAGUGAAUAACUCGUAGGCCAUAAUUAAUACUCAUGAAUCUCAUAUCAAUCAUACAACAUACUUAAAUCCAAUUCUCAUCAUAGGUGUUGGAAGAAACAAAAAAAAAAAAAAAAAAACUAACAACAAAAAAAGUAACAAUUUUUUUUAUAUAAAAAAUAAAUCGUUUGAGCGGACUACAUAGCCACUUGAGCAACAGAACACAUACUACUUUCCUCUUGAGGGGAAGAAAACCAUCACUUGAGUAGCAGACCCCAAUGUAAUGCUCGCUUGAGCGACCUAAUUUUUAUUUAUUUAUUUUUUAGACAAUUCUUAAAACAAAAGCAAUGAAAACGAAAAAAUUAAAGUGCCCACCCCCAAACUUAAAUGAAACAUUGUCCUCAAUGUUUGCAAAAACUCAUACACGCAAUGCAUUCAUCAAAACAAAGAACUAGAAAGACCAAAAUUGAAAAAACAAAAUAAAAAUUGCAAAGAUAGGAUUUAGAACUCCCUUUAAUGAAGUAUCAAAGUUGACAAAUCACCCAUUCACUUCCACUCACUAGCAUAGGCACAUGGCAAAAAUCUGCAAAUAUUAGAUAAACAUUCAAAACAUGAUAGAAGCAUAAAAAACACAAAACAAAAAUAAACUAAAAGAAAAGGAAAUAAAACACCUAGUUGGGCUGCCUUCCAACAAGCGUUAAGUUUAACGUCUUCAGCCAGACGGACGACCCCCAAACUUAAAUGGAGAAACCAGGGCACUCAUCAAGAUAUAAAGCUUCAUAAAUUUCGUGCGUUGCAUCUUCCCAGUAAAGCUUCAAUCUUUGUCCAUUCACUUUGAACGUGGAUCCAUCCUUGGGAUUAUGAAUUUCAACUGCACCAUGAGGAAAAACAUGUUGUACUAAGAAAGGACCAGACCAGCGGGAUUUGAGUUUACCUGGAAAAAGACGGAGUCUAGAGUUAUAGAGCAACACUUUCUGACCCAGAAAGAAUUCUUUUCGAACAAUUAACUUAUCAUGAUAUGCCUUCGUUUAAUCCUUGUAUAUCCUUGCAUUCUCAUAGGCUUCAUCCCGCAGUUCAUCUAGUUCAUUCAACUGAAGCUUUCGUACUUCUCUAGCCUUGUUUAAAUCAAAAUUCAGUCGCUUGAUAGCCCACAAAGCUUUAUGCUUCAGUUCCACUGGAAGGUGACAAGCUUUCCCAUAGACAAGUCGAUAACGAGACAUGCCUAUGGGGGUUUUAUAUGCAGUUCUAUACGCCCACAAAGCAGCAUUCAAACGAAUGGACCAAUUUUUCCUCGUAGUGUUGACCGUCUUUUCCAAAAUUCUCUUGAUUUCUCUAUUCGAAACCUCAACUUGACCACUUGUCUGAGGAUGAUAAGGUGUAGAAACCUUAUGGGUUAUGUUGUACUUUUUCAUGAGAACUUCAAAGGGCUUGUUACAAAAAUGAGUGCCGCCGUCACUGAUAAUGGCUCUAGGAGUCCCAAACCGAGGAAAUAUGAUGUCCUUGAGGAAAGACAAAAUAACUUUAUGAUCAUUGGUUCGAGUAGCCAAAGCCUCAACCCACUUGGAAACAUAGUCAACACCCACCAAUAUAUACUAAUAACCAUAAGAGCUUGGAAAGGGGUCCAAUGAAAUCAAUACUCCACACGUCAAAUAACUCAACCUCUAGAAUGUUGUUGAGUGGCAUCAUAUUACUGUGUGUAAAAUAUUUCUCAUCCUCUGGCAGCGAUCACUUAUCUUGCCAAAAUCAUAUGCAUCUUUAAACAAAGAAGGCCGAAAGAAUCCAGAUUGUAGUACCUUAGCAGCAGUUUUCUUGCCCCCGAAAUGUCCUUCACAUACAGAGGUAUGGCAGAAAGUAAGCACGCUCUACUGCUCUUCCUUGGGAAUGCAUCUUUGAAUAAUUUGAUCUGGACAAUGCUUGAACAAAUAUGGAUCGUCCCAAAAAUAAUGCACGGCCAUAAAUUGAAGUUUUUUUUUUCUGUCUUGACGAUUACUCACUCCAGGAAAUUCGUUGGUAGCCAAGUAAUUCAUAAUAUCAGCAAACCAAGGAAAAUUUGUUUCCGAAAUGGCGAAGAGUUGUUCGUCCAGACAACUAUCAUUCAAUGGUAACUCUGUUUCAUCAUCUUUCAAAGCUGAAACCAACCGAGAAAGAUGAUCUGCAACUAAAUUCUCUGACCCAUUUUUAUCUCGAAUCUCUAAGUCAAAUUCUUACAACAAAGAACCCAACGGAUCAACCUGGGUUUAGCCUCUUUCUUGGUAAGUAAAUACUUGACAGCUGUAUGAUAAGAAAAUACAAUUACCUUAUAACCAAUCAAAUAAGACUUUCUCCAAUGCAAAAACCACAGCAAGCAACUCUUUUUCAGUGGUCGAAUAAUUCAAUUGAGCAUCGUUAAGGGUCCUGCUUGCAUAAUAAAUAACAUGGGGCAGCUUGCCAACUCUCUGUCCUAAAACUGCUCCUACUGCAUAAUCAAAAGCAUCACACAUUAGUUCAAAAGGAAGACUCUAAUCUGGAGCACAGAAAGGGCCUUUUUAUGGACAUGUUCUUAAUUAAUGUACUGCUUUGGAGACAAUAACACCAUGGCAUUUGCCAAAUUAUUGUUAGAGAAAAUGGUGUACAUGCUUCAAGAAAAAGAUUAACUUAGCUACUUAUGAAGACAUACACCAUAUGUCAUUUCUCAUGAUAGACAGGGGAAAAAUUAAAAUUGAGGAUAGGAUUAGCGGGAAAAAUAGAGGGAAAAUUUUUAUUAUUAUUUAUUUUCAGUUUUUAAUCAUUUUUAAAAGUGAAAUGGACUAACUAUCCUCACAUGUUGUGCACAUGUCUUACUUAACGGAAAUAUGGAUGGAAUAUAUGAAAAACUAACGGUAGGGCGCAAAUUGGCUAAAAAAAUUAGUUUGAAUCCUUAAUUUUCCAAAAGAAAAUCAGGGGGAAGUCGAAAGUGAGGUGAAAGUUCAAGGGUAAAGUUUACCCUAAAAAAAAAAAAAAAAAAAAAAAAAAACGUAAGAAGCCUGGCACACAACUAUUCCUCUCCUUCUCUCUCUCGCUCUCUGUUCGCUGGGCUGCCGCGACGGUCCACCACCACUCCAAAGCACGAGGCGACUCCAUAUCCGCCUCCACAAUCUCACCUCCACCUACUUCCUCUCUCAUUAUCGACGCCGUAUCCAAGCUUCAUCGUAACAGAGCUUCGAGAAAAAGGUAAGUCGGACAACUAAUUUUUUUUUAAAUUUUUUUAUGAAAUGAUAUAAUGUUAGGGUUGUUGUGAUUAGAAAUUUUUGUAUGUAUUUAACAAAAUUUCGACUCAUUAUUUGUUUUCAAUUGUUGGUAUAAAUUUCUGAUUGAAUGAUUUAUGAAUGCGUGGCAGAUGGCACUGAGAGGAGUGUGGCAAUUGCAAAAUCCAAACUUAUGGGAUUUUCACAUAGAAACCCUCGAUACAAUUACACUUUAUAGAAAUACACUUUGAAGUUCGAACCAAUAUUUUAGAAAAGCACUCUUCUUAUAAGAGCAAAUCCAGCAUCAAAGCCUUCUGGAUAACUUCCUAAAUAGUCUUUAAUAAACAGGAACUAUCUUUAAUGAACAGUAAUUACUUUUUGCAUCUCUACCUGUAACUGAAUAGUCAUGUCAAUAGGUGAUAAAAUAUUAGUAUUUUUUAUUUUAUAAAAUAAUACAAAAUAAUUUUAUUUGUAAUUUCGGAUAAGAUUUUUAAUCCGUUUUCAUUGUCUCAUGUGUCAUUAUCCGAAAAGACAAUUUUUCGUGAUAGAUUUCGAUAAGAUUUUUAUCUAAUACAGUCUUGCCACGUGUCGUUACAUUUUCAGAAUCGUUGAGGAUAAAUUUCUUGAAAGAUUUUGAUCAAUCACGUCACGUCACGUGUGACAAUAUGUUUACAAUAUUUGAGAAAAGAUUUUGAUCAGAUUUUUAACGAAUGACGACAUGCCACGUGACAUUAUCUACAUCCUAAUUUUGUCUUUCUCCUCCAUAUAACCCACCAUCCAUCCUAAGAAAUCACACAUCAAAAUCAAAAUCUCUAUCAUUAAUCAUAGUUUCUGCUUCCUUCUUACAAUGCUUCUUCGAGGAUGUUGUGGGAAUCGACGAGCAAGAGAAAUAAUUGUUUAAAUAAGGGGAAGAAUUGUUUCAGUAUGCAAACAGACUAAGAAACCAACUGGGGAGAAAAGUGGUGAAACUGAAGACUUAGACAUGUAACCAAACAUCCUAGCGUGCAAGGUACGUGGACAACAGAUACGAAGUUUUGAGGCACAAUGAAACAAUUUGCAUCGCAAGCAGUUUCUUCGGUGUGUUUCUGAGCAGUUUAGUUUAAUGUAACCAAAAAUACAGCUCCUAGUUGUGGGCUAUAGUUCCGAAUUGGCAGUCGAGUCGAUUGUUUACUUUAGCAGUUUGUUUACUAUGAAUAGGGUAUUCUGUUUCUCGUCAAAUAACUUAAACCUCAGAAGAUGCUCUAUGAGAUUAUGAUAUCAUCUUGCUUUACCCUAAUGCCAUUGUUUACCCUAUCCGGCAUUUGAGUCAACAAAAUCGUUAAUAGCUGACGUGACAUGGGCAUAUUGUGAAGUUCAAGUUUAAAGAGGUGGUGGGUUGUAUUCUUUUUAAGUUUUUAUCUUCGGUUAGUUUUUGAUCUUUUAAUUGUGAUUAAUUUCUACUAUAAUGUCCAUGGCACGUUAGUACAUGCCCAUUUUGNNNNNNNNNNNNNNNNNNNNNNNNNNNNNNNNNNNNNNNNNNNNNNNNNNNNNNNNNNNNNNNNNNNNNNNNNNNNNNNNNNNNNNNNNNNNNNNNNNNNNNNNNNNNNNNNNNNNNNNNNNNNNNNNNNNNNNNNNNNNNNNNNNNNNNNNNNNNNNNNNNNNNNNNNNNNNNNNNNNNNNNNNNNNNNNNNNNNNNNNNNNNNNNNNNNNNNNNNNNNNNNNNNNNNNNNNNNNNNNNNNNNNNNNNNNNNNNNNNNNNNNNNNNNNNNNNNNNNNNNNNNNNNNNNNNNNNNNNNNNNNNNNNNNNNNNNNNNNNNNNNNNNNNNNNNNNNNNNNNNNNNNNNNNNNNNNNNNNNNNNNNNNNNNNNNNNNNNNNNNNNNNNNNNNNNNNNNNNNNNNNNNNNNNNNNNNNNNNNNNNNNNNNNNNNNNNNNNNNNNNNNNNNNNNNNNNNNNNNNNNNNNNNNNNNNNNNNNNNNNNNNNNNNNNNNNNNNNNNNNUCCAACUGUUGGAGUAAAAUUGGCAAUUCCUAACAAAAAGCCUGAGUCUGUAAUGUUUUAGACUAUUGCAUGUUUUCGGUUUUAUUUGUUUUAGUUUAAAUUUGUCUCUCGUGCUCUCGAUCACAAUAAUACCAAGGGUUUCAGAGACAUUUACUCAGGUAUGUUUGCAUGCAUGGCAUCUCAUGAAAUUAUGGUUUACGUUAAGUGUUUUUGGGCUGUAAUUUUAAGCAGGAUUACAAAUGAGCUUAAACUUUAAUCAAUCCUUGUUUUUGCCGUGAAUUGUGGAUUGGGUUUGCAUAUUUGACUUUCAAUUAAGGUCUUAUUAAUUAAAGCCUAUCUUUCUUAGGUGGCAACAUAUUCUCUAGUAUUUGUUUUAUGCAUACAGAUAAUGUUUGGUGGAUUUUCACACUUAUUAGCAUAAAACAAAUAAUAUCUCUUGGUUUUUAUUUUAUUUUAUUUUUUUAUCUAGUUUGUUAAUAAAAAAUUCAGUUUUCCUUGAUCACACCUCCUUCACUCUGUUUUACCUACGCCUAUAUAUACACAUCAGUUUAGGGUUUUCGCUGCUGUUGUUGCCGCAUCACAACAUAUAUAUGCAUUGAAGCAGUCAUUUAUUUGCGAGAGCAUAUGUUAAGGUUCUAGAAGUGAUCAUUAUAUCAUAUCAUAAUUUUUGUUUUGGUUGCUAUAGCAUGCAUUAGAUUAGGGUUUGGUUUGUUUGCCAUAUAACACAGAAUAUAUUAACAAAGCAUUAGCACCGAGUGCAUUAGAACAUGGUUUUAUGUUUUGGCUGCUGCUGCUAUGCAUAACACACACUGCAUUAAAUCAUAUUUGCACAGAGAGAAACUUACAGUUGAUAUGUUUGAGGAUUGCGGCAUUUGAUGUGACGAUCCGUCCCUAAUUUUCUAUGUAAUUUCUCCCCAAGUAUGUGAAUUGACAUUUAUGCUCUUAUUGGCAAGUGACGUGGACGUGUUUAUUCGCGCUUAAAUACUUUUUCUCGCUAUUGUAAUUAAAUAGUACUCAUUAUUAUGAACGCAUGAGCACGAGUUAGGCUCGAAUCAGAGUUGUGACGAAAAAGUUACGAUAAGUUAAAGUGAGUUAAAUCGGGUGACGAUUCAAAACCGUUAUUUGUUGCCCCGUAUCGAUGAUCUCUUUGAUCAACUUUGUGGUGCUGGUGUCUUUUCAAAAAUUGAUCUAAGGUCGGGUUACUACUAGUUGAAGAUCAGAAAAGAAAACGUUCCGAAAACAGCCUUCAUAACUCAAUAUGGUCAUUAUGAGUUUCUUGUGAUGCCAUUCGGGUUAACUAAUGCUCCAGUAGCCUUUAUGGACUUGAUGAAUCUGGUAUUCCGUCCGUACCUUGACAGAUUCAUAAUUGUCUUCAUUGAUGACAUUUUGAUAUACUCUAAGAGCGAGGCUGAGCAUGCUAGACAUCUAUGUCUGGUUCUGAAGAAGUUAAGGGAGAAUCAGUUAUACGCCAAGUUCAGUACGUGCCAGUUCUGGUUGGAUCAAGUUUCAUUCUUAGGACACGUGAUAUCAGCUCAAGGUGUUCACGUGGAUCCCUAGAAAGUAGCAGCAGUAGAAAAUUGGGAGCAACCUAGGACUGUCACUGAGGUACGAAGUUUUCUUGGUCUUGCGGGCUACUAUCGACGUUUUGUGAAAGACUUAUCAGCUAUAGCCCUACCUCUAACAAGGUUGACUAGGAAGGGAGUAAAUUUUGAAUGGAGUGACGACUGUGAACGGAGUUUCCAACAGUUAAAGUACUGUCUCACAACUAACACACCCCGACCGGAGUCGAGGCGUACUGGCCGUCACCCAAAGGUGACGUAACCAAACGUGCAAGUGAUGUAAGAAUGUGAAUAAAUUAAAACCGAAAUUAGGACUUAAUUUAACUAAUAAAGUGAGUGCGCAGUAGUGGGUAGAACCCAUAGAAUACAAAUAUUCAGAGCAUAGAUACCAACAGUAGUGCAGUCGAAACUAAAUAAGUGUUUAGCACACAACCAUAAAUAGUUCCUACUUUUAAUUGGAGUAUGUCAGAAUCACUAGCUAUUAUCUCAGUGGCGUACGAGGAAUAGCUGGUGAUUCUGACACACUCUAAUUAAGAGUAGGAACUGUUUUCGGUUGUGUGCUAAACACUUAUUUAGUUUCGAUUGCACUAUCGUUGAUAUCUAUGCUCUAAAUAUUUGUAUUCUAUGGGUUCUACACCACACUACUGCGCACUCACUUUAUUAGUUAAAUUAAGUCCUAAUUUUGAUUUUAGUUUAUUCACAUUCUUACAUCACUUGCACGUUUGGUUACGUCACCUUUGGGUGACGGCCAGCACACCUCGACCCCGGUCGGAGUGUGUCAUUUGAUAUUUGUUUUGGGAUUUCCUAGGUUAGUCGUAUAGACCUUCCUAUUGUUUCAGGUGUUUUGUGAACUAAGUUUUUGAAAAUGCAGCUGAGAGUAGUGUGCUAAGUUUUCAAGAAAAUCGAUUUUGAGUUCAAGUGUUUUUCAAACAGAAAUUAUUAGUUUUUGAUCAAUGAUAUUUCUUUGUUCUUUAAUUGGAAGUCAAUUAUGAAAAUGUGCCUUGUGAUUUUCGUAAUUGGUUGAUUUUCAAAAAAACCAUUUCAUCAUACAUUCAUUUUGCAUGAUCGUGUUAGUAUCUGCAAAGUUCGAGGAGAAGGUGAUUGACGGUCACAUUAGUGUUGUCCCACUUCCACUCGAAGGCUGAAUAGAGAUCGAGUAGCAAAGGCGCGGAAACAAAACUACCUUCUAGUUGAGUGUCUAGUAAGAUAAGUUUUGUAAGUCCUUUUUGUAUUCAUUUCUCUUAGUGUUUGUCUUGACUUGGGAGCCUAAGGAUUUUUUCCAGUUAUGGGUUUUGCCUCGUUAAAUCCUACAUCUUAUAUUUAUUGUUUUAACUGCAUAUGUGUAGGAUAAUUUGAUAAGUGUUGUGAUGUGGAAAUUAAUUGAAAAUUGAAUUGGAUUUUUUAAGUUGGAACCUAUUCACCUCCCUCUAGGUUAAACUAGUACCCAUCCUAGAACUUUCACCAAUCACUCAAAAGUGUCAAACCAACGGAUGAUAAAACAUCGACUGUUGUCCCCAUUUUUGUCCUUGGCAUUUUGUGGGUUUUAGGUUGACAACGAUCUUUUGUAGAUAGUGUCUACGAAUUGCUUCACGAUAAUUAGGCUUAUAAUCAAUCAUUCAAGGUCUUAGUCCAAGGUUUGCAGGAAGAUCAACCAAUAUUUCAACUUAGUGACCUCAUUUUGUUGUGAACUACCCAAAAUAUUCGAAGGAAGACUACCCAAAAUUUUUGAAGGAAGAAUAAAGCACUAUUUCUUACAGUGUCGUUCCAAUACAUCACUAUAUAAUGAGGAAAAAAGUCUUAGACUCUUAAUACUAAAAUCUACUAUGACUAAUAACUAAUUAAACCAUAAAUUCAAUUAAUCAAUAAACAUAUAAAUUAUUCAUUUAGUUUCAACUAUUCAAUUCAUCAAUUAUCAUAUGAUUCCUAUCAAUAACCAUAUUGCGCUAUGAUUCUAUAUCAAUUAAGCAAAAUUUCAUAUUAAAUUAUUAUUUAGUAAUUUGAUUUUGAAAAAAAAAAAAAAGGUUUACCUCAAAGGGGUAAGGGAUGAUGUGUAAAUUAGAGCAACCUAAAAUAGAUUAAUUCUAAUCAUGUUUAUUCGCAAGUGCACGGUUCGUAGAUAGUAUAAAAGUGCAAAUACAGAGUCGAAUCCCACAAGGAACGGUGAUUUAAUUCGAUAACUAACCACUUAACGCACAAAUGAAAUUGAAAAUAUUAUUGAGCAAGAAAAUUAAAGGAAAUAUUGGUUGUGAAGAUUAAUACUAUAAGAUAAAAUUGCUGAAAGUUUAAGAAAAUAAAUAAACCAAUAACAUUAAAACUUAAGGACAAACAAGACGUUAAAGGCCAAGGCAUCCAAUUUCACCAAUAACAAUCCUAUUCCGAUUCUUAGCUAUCAACUAUCCAAUUAACAACUCCUAUGUUGAUGAUUAAGUUUCCCAACUCUAUAAUCCGAUCAUGAUGUAUGCAUCAAAUUAUAUUCUUCUAAGAAGCAACCUAGCAUGGUGUAUGCCUAGAUUUCACAACUUGAAGUUCCCUAAGUACAAUGGAAACUUUUAUACAACCACACAAAACCUAGAACAUGGUGUAUGCUUCUAGUAAAUUGUGAUCUCAAAUUCAUGAUUCGAACAAGAACAUAACAUGGGUAUAUGCCUAUGAACCUGCAACAAACACUUAUUAAUUCAUCCAAGUGAUGCCAAUUGUCAAGAACGAAAAAACAAGCGAAUUAAGCCCAAAAUUUGAGAUUCAACAUAAUAGAACUUGUCUUGGAUAAUCAAAUAGCUAAAAAACACAAAAUAUUCUUGUAUGGCUACAAUGUAGCCUUAGCAAAAAGAAUUUAGAAACACAUAGUCAUGGAAAACAUAAUUAAAGAUAAGAAAAACAUGAGAAACCCUUAAACCGAAAGAGAGAAGUUUGCAUUCCAAAAGCUCCUGAACUCUUGCUUGCCUUCCUUCCCCUUUUCUGCGUUUUUUUUUCUGCUGCUGUCCAAAUCUCUAGCCGUAUUCCCCCUUUUACUCUCCUGCUCUGCUGCAACAACUUCUUGGAUCCCAACCGUUCAAUCCCCCCCUUUUUCUUUUUUUUUUCAUCUCCACCCUCCACUUGUAUUUUGAUGAGGACUAAGUGCAUUAUUGGGCCUAAAAGGGCAGCUUAUAUUUCUUUAACAGUCAGACUAAUUUACUUGUUAGGCAUUAAAUCUCCAAUUCAAAUGAACUGCACAAAUUUGGCCCAAAUCACUUAAAAUUUAAAGUUGACCGAACCUGAAAUUCCAAACAGCAGUCACUAAGACGAUCAUAAUUCAUUGCAGGAAUAUCGGAUUGACAUGAUUCGAACUCCAUUUGAAAGAAGACUUCCAUAUCUUUUCAUCCAUAUAUAGUAUGCAAUGAGGUUCCUCUGGAUGAAUAAAUGACAGCCCAUCAAAGUCGCUGGACAGAAACUCCCAUAUCCGAGAUUUUCCAAAUUAUGUCACCUCCAUGUCUUAGGCAUGCUUUGAUAUCUUGUGAUCUUCCUUUGAAUGUUUACAGACUGUUUUUAGGCUCUCAACACUCCUCUUAUUUGCCUCAAAAUCCCUUUAUUUGCAAUUAAUCCUACAAAAUAAGAAAAUCACAAGUAAACUACUAAUAAGGGAUGAAAACUAUACAUAAUCCAAGUGCUAAGGUAAUAAAAACUUGUAUCAAUAUGAGUCAAUCAAGUACCCCGAAACUUAGAUUUGCUAGUCAAGCUAAACAAAACAAAAUAAAAUCAAAUAAAACUCAAAGCAAUCCUUCCAACAAUGGCAUCCUCAGGAAAUUCAAUUCAUAAACAUGAUUAAUAUGAUCUCAACAGGUAUUAAAGAAGUUCAAAUCAAACAAUUCACAAACUUCGACUCAAGAUCCGUGAAGUGUGUGAGCAUUAACCAUUAUUAACACAACUUUUCAUGAUCCGGAUAUGUAUAUGCAGAUUAGCUCGACUCCAAUUGCUCACAUGGUAUACACUCAUUCACUCAUAUUUGCAGGUUGUGUGUUUUGUUCAAGUGAUCUUAUUAAACAUGCCUUCAUAUACUUGCUUGUCCACCUAACUCGGUAUCAAUAUCAAAUAACUACUUGGAUCAAGGGUCUUUCACAAGGUUGUAUUGAGGAUAAGAGUUAAUUGGCUAACAAAGAAGGGUAAGAAAAACACAAAAUCUAAAUGACUUGUAGAGCUUACAAUUACAUUUGAAGAUAAUAAUAAUAAUAAUAAUCUAAAAGAUAUAUGAAGCACUUCUACUCUAUGCAGAAACACUAUUUUCAUUUGGUCUGGUCUUUGAAACACUCAUUUCAUUUUCUUGUAGUAACAACUACUUUCUCUUCUUUUCUUUUCUUUUUUUUUUCUUUUUUUUCUUUUUUUUUCUCUUGAAAAAAAAAUGAGAAAGAUUGAAAUUACAAUAUUCGACCCUAACAACUACUCUACAAGCUCUUUAGACAGGUAGGAAUUUUUUUUUGUUUUAAAAAAAAAAAAAAAACAAGGGUAGGGAGAAAUAUUUAGGUUAAAGAAACAAGAAAGGUUCACAUUCAAGGCUCAACAGGGCUAACUAGGGAAAAUCAUAAUAAUGGUUGGCUUGAAAGGCUCAAACGAGAGAAACAAAUGCCUUAUCACUUCCAAGUUUGUUACAUGAAUUGAUGAGUGUACCAAGAGGUUUAAGGCAAGUUCUAGAAAUGCAAAUAAAAUGAGACCAUUCACACAAGUAUAAAUGAGAGUGACACAUAAUAGUUCAAUCUUGAAUAGGCUCAAAUGCUCACAAGGGUUAAACAAGUCUCACAAAAUCCACAUAAAAGUCUCUAUAUCAUGAAACUGUCAUAUUAACAUGGUUAAUGUGCUCAAGAAUUUUCAAGGAAAGUCAUGUCAAUUAGAGCCAAUAAGUGAAUAACUCGUAGGCCAUAAUUAAUACUCAUGAAUCUCAUAUCAAUCAUACAACAUACUUAAAUCCAAUUCUCAUCAUAGGUGUUGGAAGAAAAAAAAAAAAAAAAAAAAAAACUAACAACAAAAAAAGUAACAAUUUUUUUUAUAUAAAAAUAAAUCGUUUGAGCGGACUACAUAGCCACUUGAGCAACAGAACACAUACUACUUUCCUCUUGAGGGGAAGAAAACCAUCACUUGAGUAGCAGACCCCAAUGUAAUGCUCGCUUGAGCGACCUAAUUUUUAUUUAUUUAUUUUUUAGACAAUUCUUAAAACAAAAGCAAUGAAAACGAAAAAAUUAAAGUGCCCACCCCCAAACUUAAAUGAAACAUUGUCCUCAAUGUUUGCAAAAACUCAUACACGCAAUGCAUUCAUCAAAACAAAGAACUAGAAAGACCAAAAUUGAAAAAACAAAAUAAAAAUUGCAAAGAUAGGAUUUAGAACUCCCUUUAAUGAAGUAUCAAAGUUGACAAAUCACCCAUUCACUUCCACUCACUAGCAUAGGCACAUGGCAAAAAUCUGCAAAUAUUAGAUAAACAUUCAAAACAUGAUAGAAGCAUAAAAAACACAAAACAAAAAUAAACUAAAAGAAAAGGAAAUAAAACACCUAGUUGGGCUGCCUUCCAACAAGCGUUAAGUUUAACGUCUUCAGCCAGACGGACGACCCCCAAACUUAAAUGGAGAAACCAGGGCACUCAUCAUCAAGAUAUAAAGCUUCAUAAAUUUCGUGCGUUGCAUCUUCCCAGUAAAGCUUCAAUCUUUGUCCAUUCACUUUGAACGUGGAUCCAUCCUUGGGAUUAUGAAUUUCAACUGCACCAUGAGGAAAAACAUGUUGUACUAAGAAAGGACCAGACCAGCGGGAUUUGAGUUUACCUGGAAAAAGACGGAGUCUAGAGUUAUAGAGCAACACUUUCUGACCCAGAAAGAAUUCUUUUCGAACAAUUAACUUAUCAUGAUAUGCCUUCGUUUAAUCCUUGUAUAUCCUUGCAUUCUCAUAGGCUUCAUCCCGCAGUUCAUCUAGUUCAUUCAACUGAAGCUUUCGUCGUACUUCUCUAGCCUUGUUUAAAUCAAAAUUCAGUCGCUUGAUAGCCCACAAAGCUUUAUGCUUCAGUUCCACUGGAAGGUGACAAGCUUUCCCAUAGACAAGUCGAUAACGAGACAUGCCUAUGGGGGUUUUUAUAUGCAGUUCUAUACGCCCACAAAGCAGCAUUCAAACGAAUGGACCAAUUUUUCCUCGUAGUGUUGACCGUCUUUUCCAAAAUUCUCUUGAUUUCUCUAUUCGAAACCUCAACUUGACCACUUGUCUGAGGAUGAUAAGGUGUAGAAACCUUAUGGGUUAUGUUGUACUUUUUCAUGAGAACUUCAAAGGGCUUGUUACAAAAAUGAGUGCCGCCGUCACUGAUAAUGGCUCUAGGAGUCCCAAACCGAGGAAAUAUGAUGUCCUUGAGGAAAGACAAAAUAACUUUAUGAUCAUUGGUUCGAGUAGCCAAAGCCUCAACCCACUUGGAAACAUAGUCAACACCCACCAAUAUAUACUAAUAACCAUAAGAGCUUGGAAAGGGGUCCAAUGAAAUCAAUACUCCACACGUCAAAUAACUCAACCUCUAGAAUGUUGUUGAGUGGCAUCAUAUUACUGUGUAAAAUAUUUCUCAUCCUCUGGCAGCGAUCACUUAUCUUGCCAAAAUCAUAUGCAUCUUUAAACAAAGAAGGCCGAAAGAAUCCAGAUUGUAGUACCUUAGCAGCAGUUUUCUUGCCCCCGAAAUGUCCUUCACAUACAGAGGUAUGGCAGAAAGUAAGCACGCUCUACUGCUCUUCCUUGGGAAUGCAUCUUUGAAUAAUUUGAUCUGGACAAUGCUUGAACAAAUAUGGAUCGUCCCAAAAAUAAUGCACGGCCAUAAAUUGAAGUUUUUUUUUUCUGUCUUGACGAUUACUCACUCCAGGAAAUUCGUUGGUAGCCAAGUAAUUCAUAAUAUCAGCAAACCAAGGAAAAUUUGUUUCCGAAAUGGCGAAGAGUUGUUCGUCCAGACAACUAUCAUUCAAUGGUAACUCUGUUUCAUCAUCUUUCAAAGCUGAAACCAACCGAGAAAGAUGAUCUGCAACUAAAUUCUCUGACCCAUUUUUAUCUCGAAUCUCUAAGUCAAAUUCUUACAACAAAGAACCCAACGGAUCAACCUGGGUUUAGCCUCUUUCUUGGUAAGUAAAUACUUGACAGCUGUAUGAUAAGAAAAUACAAUUACCUUAUAACCAAUCAAAUAAGACUUUCUCCAAUGCAAAAACCACAGCAAGCAACUCUUUUUCAGUGGUCGAAUAAUUCAAUUGAGCAUCGUUAAGGGUCCUGCUUGCAUAAUAAAUAACAUGGGGCAGCUUGCCAACUCUCUGUCCUAAAACUGCUCCUACUGCAUAAUCAAAAGCAUCACACAUUAGUUCAAAAGGAAGACUCUAAUCUGGAGCCAUCAUAAUAGGAGCAAAAGUUGAAAGAUUUUUUAGAGCGUUAAAAGCAUGCAAACACUCAUUAUUGAAAUCGAAUGCGGCAUGUUUAGCAAGGAGAUCACAUAGAGGCUUCGAUAUCUUAGAGAAGUCUUUGAUAAAUCGACAAUAGAAGCCAACAUGCCCCAAGAAAGAUCUAAUUGCUUUGACCGAAGUCGGUGGUGGAAGCUUAGCAAUCAAAUCAAUUUUCGCUUAUCCACUUUAAUACCUCUACUGGAAACCACAUGUCCCAAUACUAUGCCUUGUUGAACCAUGAAAUGACAUUUUUUCCCACUUCAAGACCAAAUUGGUCUCCUCACAUCUUUCCAGAACCUGAGAUAGGUGAUCGAGGCAUUCAUCAAAUGAAGAACCGAAUACUGAAAAGUCAUCCAUGAAUACCUCGAUAAAUCUCUCCACUAUAUUAGAAAAGAUGGCCAACAUGCACCUCUUAAAAGUAGCAGGAGCAUUGCAUAACCCAAACGACAUUCUCCGGUAAGCAAAAGUGCCAAAAGGGCAAGUGAAUGUGGUCUUUUCUUGAUCAUCUGGAGCAAUAGAAAUUUGAUUGUACCCAGAGUAACCAUCUAGAAAGCAAUAGUGACUAUGCCCUGCUAACCUCUCCAACAUCUAAUCAAUGAAAGGCAUGGGAAAGUGAUCCUUGCGUAUUGAAUCGUUCAACUUCAGAUAAUCAGUACAAACUCGUCACCCGGUUGUUAACCUCAUAGGUUCCAACUCAUUGUUCUCAUUCUUUACCAUUGUUAUGCCACUUCUCUUUGGUACCACCAGAAUUGCACUCACCCAUGUUGAAUCGAAAAUAGGAUAGAUAAUCCCAACCUUAAGUAAUUUAAGAAUUUUUUUCUUACUACUUCUUUCAUAUUCGGAUUCAGCCAUCUUUAAUGAUCUCUAGUUGGCUUCACAUCAUCUUCAAGAAAGAUGCGAUGCAUACACAUGGAAGGUCUAAUACCUUUUAUAUCUGCUAUAGUUCAACCUAAAGUCAUCUUGUGCUCUCUCAACACCCUCAAAAGCUUUUCUUCUUCUACCUUAGUCAACUUAGAAGCAAUAAUAACUGGCAAUGUUUCUGAUUCACCAAGGUAGGCAUACUUUAAAUGUUCAAGUAGUUGCUUGAGUUCCAACUUUGGAAGUUUCUUGAUUGAUGGAACAAGAUUACUGAAAAUGGAGGAAGUUCCUCAAAAACAUAGUGACCUCGGGCUAGAUUACCUGGAACUUGGUGCAUACUUUUAACCUCAACAAUUGCCGGUAAUGCGUCAAGUGCAACUUGCAUUUAAUAAGGUUCAAUUUCUGAUUUAUACUAAUCACAGUUUUGAGUAAGACAUGUCUCCAAUGCAUCUGAGGAACUAGUAAGAUUGAACAAUUUUUGUACCUCGUGAUCAAUGGUGUCUACUCGAAAAUAUACCUUCCCCGGUUGCUUCAUGGCAUCAAAAAUUCUGAAUUCGAUCGUCUCCCCUAAGACUGUCAUUGUUAAGAGACAUUUUUUGACAUCGAUCUUAGUCCCGGAUGUAGCCAUAAAUGGCGUUCCUAAUAUAAUUGGAAUCUCUUUCUUAGGCAUUGGAACAACUUCCAUAUCAAGCAUAAUAAAAUCCGUCGGUAUGAUAAAGUGAUCAACUUGAACAAGAACAUCUUCCAGAAUUCCCUUCGGAUAUUUUACUGAUCGGUACGAAUUGUAAGACUAUUGAAGUUGGUUGAAGCUCUCCCAAACCUAGCUGUUCAUACACUGAAAAAGGCAUCAGAUUCACACUAGCCCCUAAAUCAAGGAUGGCUUUUUUAAACAUAUGAUUACUAACAGUAUAAGAGAUAGUAAAACUCCCUAGAUUUUUUAUUUUCGGUGGAAGCUUCCGUUGUAGUACUGCACUGACUUCUUCUGACAACAUCACUUUCUCAUCUUCCUCGAAUUUCCUCUUGUUAGUGCACAAGUCCUUCAAGAACUUAGCAUAAAAAGGAAUUUGCUUGAUUGCAUCAAGGAGAGGAAUGUUGAUCUCCACCUUCUUGAAUUGUUCAAGGAUGUCUAACAUGUGCUUGUUCUUUUUCGAAUUCACUAGCCUUUGAGGAUAUGGAACUAGAAGCUUGUAAACUCUUUCAACAACUUUAGGAGUGUCUGAAAUGGUUUUGGCAUUUGUAGAAUCCUCUUCAGGCUUAGAGUGCAACUCUAGAACAAGUGGUGAUGUAUAAUCUACUUUUAAACUUUCAAGCUCAGUUUCCUUUUGACAAGUUUCUUGCCCAAUGAUCUUACCGGUCAUCAAAGUAACUGCUUUGGCAUGCUCAAACUGUUGAUCCCUUGGAUUUGGCUCAACUUGGCUUGGAAAUUUUCCACUCUUGAGUGUUCAUAGACUAAGAAAUUUGCCCAACUUGACCCUUCAAAGAUUUCAAGGCUGCCUUCAUAAUGUUCUGUCGAGUUGUCAUGAAGGUCAUAUUCUGAUUGAAAUGAUUAAGUGUAGUCAAAACCAUAUUGUUUGCAUCAUCAGUUCUCUGCAUGAAUCCUUGCAUCAUAACUUCAAGUGAAGAUGAAGUAGAGUAUGGCUUUGUAGGAACCAUUUGCAUGUUCCCUUGAUAAAGUCUCGGCUGUAUUUGCAUAAUACCCUGAUUUCUGUUUUGAUUACCAUUCCAAGCAAAACUCGGAUAAUUUCUCCACCCUUGAUUAUAGGUGUUAGAGAACGGAUUAUUCUUCGAUUUCCCUUAAUAUACUUGAAGCUGAUUGGCUUGAUCGAAUGUAUUCUCAGAAUAGUAUUGAGGACAUGUUUAAGUGACAUGAACAAACUGAGAACAAAUAGAACAUACCGACUGCGCUUGAAAAUUUCCUUGAUUUAAUGGAGACUGAUUUUGAUAUUGUUGACUCACCGUGCUUAUCAAAUUAGCCAUUUGUUUCCCAAGUGUCCCAACCUUGGCUUCUAACCCGGUAUCUGAAUUGAUCUCAUACAUGCCAGCCUUCUUCAUUGGUGCUUUAGUCUUUCUUUUUCCUCACUGAGUUGAUUGAGUAGCUAAAGUCUCAAACAAGGCUAUAGCAUUUGGAUAGGGCUUCAUCAUCAGACCAUCUCCACUUCAGUUAUCUACUCACUCUUUAUCACUCUCAUUAAGUCCAUUAUAGAAGAACUUAAUUUGUAACCAAUUUGCAAAUUUGUGGUAAGGGCACCUACUCAAAAGCUUUUGAUAGCAUUCCCAUGCUUCAAAAAAUGGCUCAUAUUCCUCUUGUGAAAAUUGCAUGAUUUCUUGCCUCAAAGCAUCUGUUUUAGUCUUUGGAAAGAACUUCAAAAGAAAAGCAUAUGUGAGCUCAGUGAAACUCCGGAUUGUUCUUGGCUUUAAAUUAUGCAACCAAUCUUUGGCUUUGUCCCGUAGUGAAUAAGUAAACGACCUCAUUCUGAUUUGAUCUUGAUCUAUGGUUGGAUGAGUGAUUGUGCUUGUAGCUUCAACAUAAAGCUUGAGAUGAUCAAAGGGAUCCUCCUAAGUUAACCCAUGAAAAUUAGGCAUCAACGACAACGUGGAAUCAUUCAACUACAUACUCGGAGGAGCACCAUUCGAAAGAACUAAGCACUGAGGUUCGUUAGUGAAAUGGGGAACUGAAUUAGCCACUAUGGGCUGAGGUCUUUCCCGUUCCUCUUCCAUGUAUUGCGUUUCUUUUUUUUUUCUUAGAUUUCGCAAAGUACGUUCGAUCUCUGGGUCAAAAGGAAAUCGCUCAAGGCUUCUUUAACGCCUUCUGUUCAUAUACCAAAGGGCAAGUACCUGAAAUACGGAGAAAAAAAAUAAAAAAUAAAAAAUAGAAAACAAACUAAUAUAGAACAAAGGGUUAAAUAAUUAGUCCUCGAAUCAAAAGCAACUGUUCCCCGGCAAUGGCGCCAUAAACUUGAUGCAUAAAUUAGAGCAAUCUAAAAUAGAUUAAUUCUAAUCACGUUUAUCCGCAAGUGCACGGUUCGUAGAUAGUAUAAAAGUGCAAAUACAGAGUCGAAUCCCACAAGGAACGGUGAUUUAAUUCGAUAACUAACCACUUAACGCACAAAUGAAAUUGAAAAUAUUAUUGUGAAGAUUAAUACUAAAAGAUAAAAUUGCUGAAAGUUUAAGAAAAUAAAUAAACCAAUAACAAUACAACAUAAGAACAAACAAGACGUUAAAGGAAGGCAUCCAAUUUCACCAAUAACAAUCCUAUUCUGAUUCUUAGCUAUCAACUAUCCAAUUAACAACUCCUCUAUUGAUGAUUAAGUUUCCCAACUCUAUAAUCCGAUCAUGAUGUAUGCAUCAAAUUAUAUUCUUCUAAGAAGCAACCUAGCAUGGUGUAUGCCUAGAUUUCAUCACUUGAAGUUCCCUAAGUACAAUGGAAACUUUUAUACAACCACAAAAACCUAGAACAUGGUGUAUGCUUCUAGUAAAUUGUGAUCUCAAAUUCAUGAUUCGAACAAGAACAUAACAUGGGUGUAUGCCUAUGAACCUGCAACAAACACUUAUUAAUUCAUCUAAGUGAUGGCCAAUCGUCAAGAACGAAAGAACAAGCGAAUUAAGCCCAAAAUUUAAGAUUCAACAUAACAGAAAUUGUCUUGGAUAAUCAAAUAGCUAAAAACACAAAAUAUUCUUGUAUGGCUACAUUAUAGCCAAGGUAUUAAAUAUAGAUGAUAUCGGAAAUAUCGGUAGUCCAAAAACACAUAAAUAUCGAUGGAAAUAUCAGGAUAUUAUCGAUAUCGAUAAAAAUAAUAUGGAAACCACGGAAAUUGUAAGAAAAACUUGGAAAUUUUUAUUGAAACUUUGUAGGAUGUUUAUUUAGUCAAUUAUCUAUUAGUUUAUCACAAAAAAUUGGAAGGAAAUGCAUUGCAUGAUGGAUUUAACUGAUUUAAGUUGAUUAUAUAGCGAGCUGGCAAACAUUGUGAGUGUAGAAAAUAUGCAGUAAUUAAUGAAAGAAAUUUAAACACACCAUAAUCAUUUAUAUAUAAUGAAUUAGUACAAUAUUUUACACUUUAUACAUUGCAUGGUAAGAUACAUGAGUGACUUAGUACCACAUAGAGUUCCUAUGAGGUUCAAAAUGUUCACCUUGGUGUUUUUUAAAAUAUAGAAAUUUAUCCUAGAUAAUAAAUAUUAGCUUGCAAGCCUUGCAGACAUCUUAACGACCAUAUAAAUAUUACAUGCUGAAUAUGUAAUCACAAACACAUCUGUAGCGAGUUGGAUAAGGCCCAGGUGCGUGGUUGACAAAGGGAGGGUUCGAAUAUAAUCUGCUUGAUUAGUAAAAAAAAACAAAUUAUUAUCUAAAUAAUUUAUAAUUUAUAUAACAUUUAUAUGUAUAUAUAUAUAUAUAUAAUAUAUAUAUCCUAAACUUUUAAAAAUAUAAAUGGAUGGCCUUCAUUAUUAAAAGUUAAAACCAUCAGAGGUGCACCUCACCUCUUUCACAUCACCUGUCCACCUCAUAAUUACAAGUUACAAUCAUCAGAGCCCAUGGUUUUGUUUGUUUAAGUCUCCCGUCCACUACCCGUCCACCUUGGGUGGUAUGUUAAAGUCUCUUUCUCUCUCUCUCUCUCCCCGCACCGUCUUCUCCCUCAUCUUCACAGAUGCACUUCUCUCUGCAUCGUCUCCUCCCUCAUCUUCACAGACGCACUGCAGAAAUUCGUCGGCAGCACUCUCUCUUCCCUCACCUUCACAGAGACAAGCUAAACCUCGUAUUUCUCUCCCUUUCUCUCGGUGCAGCUAGGACAGUGGAACCCAGGAACUCUCCGACGAGUUCUCUUGAUCCUUCUCCGGUUAGGUAAGCCCUCAAUUCAUCUUGGAUGUUGUGUGGUGUGGUUGAGAAUCGAGAUAUACUAAGUUUUAUCUGGUUUUUUUUAACAAGGUUUUAGAAUGAGAUCGACCCAGGGGAAGGCACACCCAGCUCCGGCGAGGCCGUGAAUGUCGACGAACUUUCCAAACACCUCUGACCGUUUCACGGCAAACGGAAGUUAUAAAAACAUUCCUCUCGUCUUCUAUUUCAUUUUAAUACCUAGAUCGAAGUCUAGGGUGCUCUUUUACAGUCGGCCAGAGUUGUAGAAGUUUCGGCGUUCUUCUCUGAUUUGCACAUAUCCAAAAUAUCACGAUAUUAUUGGUAAUAUCGCGAUAUUAUCGGUAAUAUCAUGAUAUUAUCGAUAAUAUCGCGAUAUUUUGAUUAAAACUCCUUGGAUGGAUACCUAUUAAAAUAUCGGUAAAGAAAAAAACCAAUAUUAUCGGCGAAAUAUCGCCGAUAUUAUCGGCAUUUAAGACAUUGAUUAUAGCCUUAGCAAAAGAAUUUAGAAACACAUAGUCAUGGAAAACAUAAUUAAAGAUAAGAAAAACAUGAGAAACCCAUGAACCGAAGGGGAAGUUUGCACUCCAAAAGCUCCUGAACUCUUGCAUGCCUUCAUUCCCCUCUUUUGUGUUUUUUUUUCUUUUCUGCUGCCGUCCAAAUCUCCAGCCGUUUCCCCCCUUUUACUCUCCUGUUCUGCCACAACAACUUCUUGGAUCCCAACCGUUCAAUCCCCCCUAUUUUUUUAUUUUUUUGCUUUUCAUCUCCACCCUCCACUUGUAUUUUGAUGAGGACUAAGUGCAUUAUUGGGCCUAAAAGGGUAGCUUAUAUUUCUCUAAUAGUCAGACUAAUUUACUUGUUAGGCUUUAAAUCCCCAACUCAACUGAACUGCACAAAUUUGGUCCAAAUCACUUAAAAUGCAAAGUUGACCUAACCUGGAAUUCCGAAUAGCAGUCACUAAGACGAUCAUAAUUCAUUGCAGGAAUAUCGAAUUGACACUAUUUGGACUCCAUUUGAAAGAAGACUUCCAUAUCUUUUCAUCCAUAUAUAGUAUGCAAUGAGGUUCCUCUAGAUGAAUAAAUGACAGCCCAUCAAAGUCGCUGGACAGAAACUCCCAUAUCCCAAAUUUUCCAAAUUGUGUCACCUCCAUGUCUUAGGCAUCGCUUUGAUAUCUUUUGAUCUUCCUUUGAAUGUUUAUGGACUGUUUUUAGGCUCUCAAAACUCCUUUAUUUGCCUCAAAAUCCCUUUCUUUGCAAUUAAUCCUACAAAAUAAGAAAACCACAAGUAAACUACUAAUAAGGGAUGAAAACUAUACAUAAUACAAGUACUAAGGUAAUAAAAACUUGUAUAAAUAUGAGUCUAUCCAGGGACUGGUGAUUGCAGUUGAAAUGGGUUAGUAGCGCAGUUGCUAACUUGGAAGUUGCUGCUCUGUUGGAAGGUGCCUGGCUACUAGAGGCAUGAGCUAGGCCUAAUGGGUGAAGAGUUUUUCGUCGAAUGUGAGGGUUAAUGGGGGGCUCAUCCCCUUAUGUGAAUUACUUUUUGGUUUUUAAGGAAUUAUUUUUAAGGUGAAACGACAUCGUUUUAUUUUAGAUUUUUUUUAGCAGGCUUGAAACAACGUCGUUUUGGCUUGAGAAUUUUUUUUUUAACGGAGCCCAGUCCAAAACGAUGUCAUUUCCUUUCCUUCUCAAAGUUGCAGAUUUUAUGAUAGGACCAGAAGGGUGGACCAUCGAUCCUGGGCUUAAUUUCUAGCGAAGGGAGGUGUAGUCACCCCUCCCUGCCCCACUGUAGCUUCACCCCUGCUUUUUCGUGUUGUUUAAGUUGGGGUUGUCAAGGUUGCAACAGAAUGCCAUUGUUCUGUAAUACAUCUGAGAAAGCUAUGAAUAAUUUUGUUUCCAAUAGCAUAGAUGUGAACCUUAGAUAUCAAAGUUGUAAUUACAUUACGAAUUGCACCACUUGCAAUUGUAAGCAAGUAUGGGAAGCAGGAUAUUGCUCUAAACGAAAGCUAAGUAUCUCGUUUCCUAAUGAGAACUUGACAAUGUUAGGUUUUGCACUUCCUCUCUCGGCUAUCUUAUGGAUCGCUGUAAAUUGGCGAUUUCCAGUAUUGAUCCCAAAGUAAGGAUGAGCCAACUUGAUUAUUAGGGUCUUCCUGGUUGCCUACAAAUUUUUAAGGGCUUGUGAAGAUGGAGCAGUGACUGAUGUAGUGGUACUUAACAAACAAGCAUUUGCAAUUGCCCCAUUAGGCCAGGCUAAUUGUAUCACAGCAAAAGCCAAAGCCAUAGCGGUCAGAGAUCUAUACCAGGCCUUCAUUUCCUCUCUGUCACCGUCGUGAACGAAGAUUAUUAUGCAGUUUAGGAUGUGUAGUCCUUUAAUUUAUGCAUAAAUACUGUCUUCAAACAAUAUGGAUUUGAUAGUAGAGAUCCUGUGCUAAACUAUAUUUUACAUAUAUGCAAAUACCAACUGACUAGUACAUGUUCUUAAACUCUGCUAAGCAUAGCGUUAAUUACGUUUUAGUGACUAGGAAUGUUAAAUCAGAUAAGUUUGUAUAUUUUGGUUAAUUGAUUAUUCUCUCUUUUAUAUGGAGACAUAGUAUAUACAUCCACACCUUGUGGCACAAGUAAUAAUAAAGGAGAAUGUAUCCUAAACUAGGAAACCAAAUUACAUUCCAAGACUAAGUAAUGACUCAUGUCAACACUCCCCAUCAAGUUGGUGCAUAGAUAUCUCCUAGGCCCAACUUGUCAAGUGAGUCAUAAAACUUUCUAGCAAAGACUACAUGUGUUAAGAUGUCCGCCAACUAUUCCUCUGUCUUCAUGAAUGGAAUAUCAAUCAACUUAACAUCUAUCUUUUCUUCGAUGAAAUGUCUAUCUACCUUCAUAUGCUUGGUUCUAUCAGUUGUACCAGGUUGUUAGCUAUUUCCCGUGCUGCUUGAUUAUCACAAUACAACAUCAUAGACCCAUCUAGCUUAAACCUUAUCUCAGUGAGAAAGAUUUGCAGCCAUAAUAGCUCACAAAUUCCAUGAGCCAUUCCUCUGUACUCGGCCUCUGCUCAUGAUCUUGACACCACAUUUUGUUUUUUACUUCUCCAGGUCACAAGAUUUCCAGCUACGAACGUAAACUAGCCCGAUGUUGACCGUUGGUCGGUGAUAUUCCUUGCCCAAUUUGCAUAUGUGUAUCUUUUUACUUCCAUAUAUCCAUAUUUUUUAUACAUCAAUCCUUUCCCUAUAGCUCUUUUUAAGUAACUUAAGAUUUGCAUUACCAUCGCUAUAUGGUCUUCACUCGGAGCAUGAAAUAAACUGACUAACUACACUCACUGCAUAAGCAAUAUCCAGCUGAGUAAGUGAUUGAUAAAUUAAUCUUCCCACUAAACUUUGAUACCUCUCCUUAUUAGUCAAAAUUAGAUCUUGAUAGAUUGCAAGGUGAUGAUUCUGCACAAUUGAUGUAUCCACUGGCUUACACACCAACAUACAUGUCUUGGAUAAAAGAUCCAAUACGUACUUACGUUGUGAAAAGUAUAUCCCUUCACGAGACAGAGCCACUUCAAUUCCUAGGAAAUACUUGAAUCCUCCUAAGUCCUUCAUCUCAAAUUCAACAGACAAGUACCCUUGUAGUUUUUCAAUCUCUAUUGUAUCAUUACAUGUGACAAUCAUAUCAUCCACAUAUAUGAUGAGUAAUGUCACUUUUCCAUCCUUACGCUUGAUGAACAAAGUGUGAUAUGAAUUUCCCUGUCGGUAUCCAUACUUUUUCAUAGCCUAAGUGAAUCUCCCAAACCGCGUUGUAAGUGACUGCUUAAGACCGUAUAGCGCAUUUCAAAGUAUGCACACCUUCCCACUAGAGUUUGUAAUAGCGUACCCUGGUGGAAAGUCCAUGUAUACCUCUUCCUCUAAAUCUCCAUGUAAGAAAGCAUUUUUUACGUCAAAUGGUUGCAAAUGCCAAUCAAAUUUAGCAGCAAGAGACAACAGAACUCUAAUGGUAUUCAUCUUCACAAGAAAAGGUUUCUUGGUAAUCAACACCAAAAGUCUGGGUGUAUCCCUUUGCCACCAAUCUUGCCCUGUAUUUAUCAAUAGUUCCAUCUGCCUUGUGUUUAAUGGUAAACACCCAUUUACACCUUACCAGUUUUUUUCCUUCAGGAAGCAGCAUCACUGUCCACGUAUUAUUCUUUUGUAAAGCCUCUAUUUCCACCUACAUUGCCUCUGUCCAUUUUGGAUCCUUCGAGGUGUCCUCAACUCUUGUGGGUAUUUUUAUAUCUUCCAUUUGUUGAACUAAUGCAUAGUAACUUGGUGAGAGCUUAUGAGUAGACAUAUAGUGUGCAAUUAAAUAUAGAACUUUUCCCUCUGGAGAGUACCUGUCUGGGGGCUUUCCUCGAUUUUCUCUAAAAGGAAAUACAUAAAUAGGUUUAGUUCUUUCUGAGUUAAAACUUACCUCAGGGAUAUCCGAUUGAUCUUGGACGGGUACUUGAGGAGUGAGAGACAAGGUGUUGUUGCGGAAUUCAAUUUCUAGCCCACUUGGGCUAUUCAACACGGCAACAGCACCUGGCCUACUUGGGCUGUUCAAUUUGGUAACAGCUAACCCACUUAGACUGUUCAACUUGCCAACAUCAGCUGGCCCACUUAGGCUUAUCUCAAUUCUCGCUGCUGUCCCACUUGGACUUUUCUCGGUCCUCUCGGUAAUCAGCCUAUCUGGGCAUUCUUGCCUUUCAAUCACUUGGCCUUCUGGACUUUCUAUUUGCUUAUCAGCUAGCCUACUUGGGCUUUUUUCAACCAGCCCACUUAGGCACUCUUCACGUGUUAGUACAACUGGCAUAUCAAACCAGCCAUAGUUAUGGGAAUAAGAAAGGCUAGGUAUUAGCUUUCUUGGGAUUACUCGUUGGCUGACUCACAUGUCGUCGUCUUCCCCUGAAGAGUAUAGCUGGGGAGGGGGGAAAUAUUUCAUCUUUUGAGAAUGUGACAUCCAUAGUGACAUACAUAUGCCGAGUAGACGGAUGAUAACACCAAUAGCCUUUUUGUUGUGGACUAAAGUCAAGGAAAACACACCGAACUGCACACGAAUUAAGUUUGCUUCGUUGGUUUUUGUGGAGAUGGACGUAUGAUACACAUCCAAAAAAGGUGGUUCCAGGUGGAAUGGAAGGAAGCGUAACAUUGUCUGCAAGCACGGCCAAAGGAGUUCAGAAAGAGAAAACUCGAGAUGGCAUGCGAUUCAUAAGAUAAAUAGUAUAUGUCACUGUAUUUGUCCAAUACGCCUUGGGUGCACAUGCACCUAUUAAGAGUGCUCAGGUAGUCUCAAGAAUGUGACAAUUCUUUCUUUCUGCAACUUCGUUUUGUUAGAGUUUAAGGACAAGUAGUUUCAUGAAGGAUAUCGGGUUCCUUGAAAAUUUGAGAAAUAUGCUGAUUAACAUAUUCACCGCCAUUGUCAGAUCGAAGAACUUUAACAGGAAACGAGUAUUAGUUGAAACCAUGGAAUAGAAUGUCUUGAAAAGUUCGCUCACAUCACUCUUAUUUUUCAUAAGAUACAACCAUGUCAUCCGGGUACAAUCAUCAACAAAUAUCACAAGCCAACAUAUACCAUACUAAGUAGUAACUGGAAAUGUUCCCCACACAUCAAAAUGAAUCAACUCAAAAGGAUUAUUUAAACUUGGAGAAAAAGAAGCACGGUGACUUGUAGCUAAGGUGCAAGUAUUACACUUUACGGAAGAGUCUUAAAUAUUAUUAAAUAACGACGGAAGUAAUUUUCUCAAAUACCCAAAUGAAGCAUGACCAAGUCGACAAUGCCACAACUGAACAGUCUUCAUCCUUCCAUUGCUAUAACUUUAAUUUAUGAACACGAACUACAAGAAAACGUGGCUUUUGUGAUGACCAACAUUCGUCACAUAAAUAUGAAAAAUCGUCACAUUUGACUAUAUGUAACGAAAUUUCAGCGUCACAAUUAGCGUCACCUGUACAACUUCACUGAUAGUUUAAGUGACGAAUAUUGGAGUCGCCACAUAUUUUCCUUUUACGUGACACUUCUUCCGUCACUUAUUAUUCUAAUAUGUGAUGAAAUUAGCGUCAUAAAAUACAAAAUUCAGUGACCUAUGUUUUUCGUCUCAUAUCAGACUUAUAAGUGAUGCUUUUUGGGUCACUCAAUAUGAUCCUAGAAUUAUAUAAUUACACUAAGUGACGCGGAAAUCGUCACAUAUUCUUUUAAUGGGUGAAACGGCUUAUGUCAUAUAUAUUAUAAUCAAAUAACUAUUUAGGAAUAAUAUUUGAGGAAUUCAUUACUUAUUCGUGUUUCGUAAUCUAGAAUAGCAACUCAUAACAAUUAUAAGGUAAUACUUUCCAUUUUCAUUAAUCAACAAUUAAACCACAUAAGUUCGAAUAUGUUCAACAACUAUACAUCCAACAAAAUAACAUAAACAUCCCAAAAUCAAUCUAACCCAUGUUGACCUAUCUUAAUAAUAGCAAUUUGUGAAGAAGGGUACCAAGGCCUAUACAUGGACUGUUUAAGGUACUAAUUAAUAAAAGAAAAGUCUAAGACACAUUGAGGUGCUAACAAAAAGGUCUACCAUUUGCAUACUUAACUAAUAACAAAAGACAUAACUAUCAAAAUCAUUCUUCUUCCGAGUCAUGUUCUUCCAGUUCAAGAUAAACAUUUUCACUAGAUGAGUUAUUACCAUCAGAUUCCUUCGAGUUGUUGCUGGUCUGCCCCUGACUUGCAACAAAAAAAACCUUAAUUUUUUAUGCCAAGGUUUCAUCAUCAUUUUGUAAAUCCAACCGAGCUCUUAAUUGUUCAUUUUCCUGUUGCAAUUUGAGGAAACCAUCUGAUAGAAUCUUGAUCUGAUCUCUCAUGUUAGUUAACUCACAACUUGAAGCCAUAGAAGAAACACAACUAAAGGUAUCCGUACGAGGGAAAAGACCUACACCGUUAACAGGUUUUCCCUUCCUUCCAAGGUUCUUAGCCAUGAUUCCAAAUUCAUCUUCCAAUGGUACUUGUAUGGAAUCGAAUAUAGUACCCUCAGGCGCUUCUUGGAUUAGCUUCUCCCUAACUUCAUCCUUCUUUUUCUUCAUGUUAUCCUUUCAUAUUAAAAUACAAACAAAUAAGUUUCUUUUGUUUCAAACAAAUCAGCCACAAUACGCUUAAGAAAACAUCAUUUAAAUACUUUUGGAUGUGAUCCUGAACUGAUGUAGAAGCAAACCUUUGUGUAUAAACUGUCUUUACAUAUGAUUUUGUAGUUUAUGCUUCAAUGUGUUUUACAUAGGAUUAGGCAACAUACAACGUAUAACCUUUAAAGUAGUUUAUGUUUGAAUGUCUGCUAGGUAUAACCUUUCAACUUCUUGCUAGUUAUAUUAAGUUUUUUUUUCAAUUCAAUCUUGCAUGUUCACUUUAUUUGUGUUUCCUAAGUUGUAUCAUGUCAAAUUGGAUUUUUUUUUAAUCUCCAUCUCCCUUAAAAUGACACAAAUGAUAAGUUCGUGAAAGACUUUCAUAUUUGUCCCGGGCAACAUCAUUUAUCCAUGAUCGUUCUUGCCUUUAUGGAGAGCCCCCCAAUUGUCAAUCACAGAAAAUGGAUUUCCUUUCUGCUCAAUAAUGCAGAAACAUACAUUAGAAUAUGUAAAUUUCAUAAUGAGUAAUAAGUAAUUUAAUUUCAUUACCAUCUAGGCCUUCCUAGCAUGUUGGAUAAAUGGCUUUGCCUCUCCUUUGUGGUGACACUUCUGUUUCUUCCUAUUAUCAGCAUUUUGCUUUGAAAGCUCCUACAUUACACAUUUGGUACAUGACAUACAAAAGAAGAUUUAGUUAGCUAUACAUGUGUACAAUUUGGAAAGUUCCAAGCUCUCAAACUUGUCAUAUAUAACGUUAUGUAUUUCAGUUGUACAUAUUCAUUCACCUUAGAGGGCUAUCUUACCUCACCUUCUAUAUUCUCUCGGUUAACAAUGUUAGAAACAUCACAAGCUAAGGCGAGAGAAACAUAUAAACACCAAGCUUAAGGAAAUUGAAUGGAAGAUACUCUUUCUUCUACCAAGGGCAUUAGGCUAACACAUUUAGUCAAAUGAGUGUAUGAUAACCAUUUUCAAACAUUAAAUUUUAACUCCAAAUUACCUAAGUGUCAAGAAGUAACAAUCAACAAACUUCAUAUUUUAACUCAAAAUUACCUAAGUCUAAGGAAGUAACAAUCAAUUUAACCACAAGGUGAAAUUCAUUAAUGCAUGUUAGGAUAUUUUUAUUUCAAAUAUGGCUAUCGAAAUUAUUAGAUGAUAUGGGGUGACUGAUGCUGCAUAUAACUGAUGUUGUAUAACUGAUGCUACAUAUGACUGAUGAUGCAUAUGACUGAUGCUGCAUACUAACUGAUUAUUAGAUGAUAUGGGGUAACUGAUGCUGCAUAUGACUGAUGUUGCAUACAUAUGGGGUGACUAGUGCUGCAUACUAACUGAUUAUUAGACGAUAUGGGGUGACUAAUGUUGCAUAUGGAUAUUAGACGAUAUGGGGUGACUGAUGCUACCAGACUUUAUGUUUCCUCUUUCCAUGGGAUUCUCUAUUAAGUCUAAUCCCUUAAUUGAGGAAGAUUGACAUCUAGAUGACUUGUUGAUAGUUGUGUGCUAGCUACUUGUUGCACUCCCUUCAUUUAAGGAGUGAUAGCUUUAGGGUUUACCGGGUUAGUAAGAUUUACCAAGGUAGGGUUGCUUGUAACCUUCUACCUCAUUAUAUAUCCCCUCUUGUACAUUCAAUCAAUCUCUAAAAAAAUAAAUUCAAACAAACUUAAAAUUUCCACAGAAACAGAGGUUAUAUUACCUUUGCCGUAUUCCUAAUUCCAACCUAAUUAAAUAGGUGUUUGAGCAGAUUUGAAAAUUACAAGUAAAAAAGUGUGGUUGUAUAGCCAAGUAAGCUAAGAUACAUAAAUCCUAUCCCAACAAAAUAUAAAUGUUAUAGACAAACAACAUGAGAUCUUAAUCACACUCAAAGAAACAAAAUUCAUUUAAAAUAAACAGUUGAAACACUAAUCGGUGGCCUGCAAAAUGACACUAAGCAGAUGAGUUCCAUAAGAACAAAUCAGAUGAAUAUAGCCACCAACUACAAGACAGUGAAAAUCUCAAUAAAUAAAGGGAAAAUAAGAAACAAAAAGUAACAAAGCCAAGAUGCAGAAAUUUUAGCCAUAAAUACUGAAUUUAAAGAACGAACAUGAAAAAUGUCUAUGCAUUUCACUUUGUAAGGAUUAACCAGCCUACAACUAAAAUGAAAAUGAAGAAGCAUAUAAGGUAAGAGCUAGAAUGCAAGAGUUAUAACUAGAAACACUAUGUUCGAAGAACACAACAAGUCACAAUUUCACAUUGGAAAGUUAAGCAUAUGACAACCAAAAUGAAAAUGAAGCAUAAAAGGUUAGAGGUUCUGAAUAUAAAAAUUGAAUUUGUAGAACACUACAAGAAGUCUUCAUGUUGAAAGAAUUGGUUUCUAACUUGGAUUUAUACUAGAAAAUAUUAUAUAGAAUACAUACAAAAAAGAGUGUAGUAUUGUAAACAUUAUCACAUAACCAAUCCCAAUGACUCUUUGGUCUCUCAUUCCAUAUGAUAUCACUUGGAAGCUUAGCUCGUCCUCUCGCAGGUGUUCCACAUGACAAGUAGUGUAGAUGCAACUGGUGCCUAAACUGAGAGUACAACUUUGCCAUCUUCUUGUCAACAUAUUCAAUAAUCUUUGGAUGGGAUAAGUCCACAACAAAUAAUACCUAUUGUUAAACAUAAAUAUAUGCAAGUGAGUGCUUGAAAUUACAAUGAAUAAAUUGAAUUAAAUUCAAAACUCACAAGCAACUUCUCUUGUAGUUUCUUCUUUUUUGAAGCUGGGACAUUAAACCAUCUUUCAUAGCAACUUCUCUUGCAGUUUCUUCUUUUUCAAGGCAAACCUAGUCUUGACUCUUGCAACACCUCUCUCAAGAAAGACAACACACAUCUUAAUGGUUACAGACUUCCAACAUUUGAACAAAAACAAAAAACAAAAAGAUAACACUUAGUCAGGGGACUAAGAAAAAUAAAAACAUAUAUCAACCACCAAGACCAAAAUUUUGACUCCAAAGAGUAAAGAAGAAUCCAGAUUGGAAUAGAAAACUCAUUGCUAGUAUAACUCUCCCUGAAGCAGAGAACAAUUCACGAGCAAUAAGAUCUUUAGCGAAAGAAAAUCAGAAUAUGGGGAACAAUUAAAGAAAACAAAAAUCCAAAAACAAUUAAAGAAAUAUAGAGAAACAAAGUACCUUGUUUUCAACUGAAAGAACUUGAGAAAAAAUCGAACUUCUUUUUCUCCAAUUUGAUCUUGGUAGUCACCGUCGCUGGCAACAACCAAGUAGUUGGUCGUCGAAGUUAGGGUGAAGGAGUAGAUGAAAGGGUGCUGAAGACUGGGAAGAAAUGAGAAUAAAUGGAUAGGUUUUUGUGAUUUUGGGGUUUUUAAUAAUUAUUGCUUAUGGCCACUUUUUUUUAUUUUUAAAUUCAUAAAUAUUAAAAUUUCUUUUGUAAACUUUGGCCCAAUGUUGCCAGUGGCCUUCCGCAAAAAUUCUUAUGUGACUGAAUCUUAAAGUGACAUUUUUGCGUCAAAGUAUUCACUUUUCUUUAUAUGCGCUAUAACUUUUACAGCCCAAACUUUCCUAAUCCAAUGUUUAGUGUGACCAAAACAAUUUAUUAAUCCACACAAAAAAAAAAAGUAAAAAAUUUCACACACAGUUUAAUGUCAUUUGACGCCACAAAUAAAUUUUUGAGUGUUGGCCCAAUUCAAUGGCUAAAAUGCUAAUAAUUUGGAUAUCCAAGAGAAAUGGUAAGCAUGACAACCCAUGAUCAAUUAUCGUGGAUCAAUAAUCAAUUUAAAAUGCCAUAUUCCAGAUUCAAUGUAAUUUAUACCCCGGCCCACCGUAUUUAUGCCAAGAACUCAUACAAUGAAGCGGAGAAAGUUGAGUUUAGAUUGAGGUAAGAGAUAGACGGGUUUGAUCGUUAAGACAUGAACCAAUCAUCGGGGUUCAAUGCCAAGGCGAGGAAAACCAAUGGGUUCAUCUUUUCAAAGAUUGAGGAAAUCUUAUGAUAGGAAAAAGGAUUUACACAUGGAUUAUAAUAUUUGGAGGAAAAAGGUUUCAUAAAUGGGGUCUAAAUUCUUUGGAAGUAUUUUAGGAAGAAAUGAGUAAGAGUAGCUUUAUAUUAUAGGGAAGAAAUCCAGUAGUAUCCAAGCUAUAAAGGAUAUGUAUGAUGAAGCAAAGACUGCCAUAAGAACUCAUGAAGGGCAAACUAAAAGCUUCCCCAUCACUGUAGGGUUACAUCAGGCUCAUCCUUAAGUCCUUACCUUUUUGCAUUGGUAAUGGAUGAGUUAACGGGACAUAUUCAAAAUAAUAUUCCUUGGUGUAUGCUUUUCGCAGAUGAUAUAGUGUUUAUAGAUGAAACUCAGGAAUGGGUAAAUGCGAAGCUUAACCUUUGGAGAGAAGUGUUGGGAUCUAAAGGUCUUCGCCUAAGCCGAUCAAAGACAGAAUUUAUAGAGUGCAAGUUCAGUGCAAAUGGAGGCCAAAAUGAGUUAGGGGUAAGGAUCGGAUAUCAGGAAGUACCAAAGAGCGACCGCUUUCGCUACCUAGGAUCUAUCUUGCAAAAGAACAAAGAAUUAGAUGGAGACCUCAACCAUAGAAUACAAGCUGAUGAAUGAAGUGGAAGAGUGCAUCCGACGUGUUGUGUGACCGCCGUGUGCCAUUGAAACUCAAGGGAAAAUUUUACAGAACGGCAAUAAGGUCGGCAAUGCUGUAUGACACGAAAUGUUGGGCAAUGAAGCAUCAAUACGUACAUAAAAUUGAUGUAGCGGAGAUCUUCGUUGGAUGUGUGGGCACACGAGAAAUGAUAAGAUUAGGAAUGAGGAUAUCCGAGGUAAAGUAGGAGUAGCCGAAAUUGAAGGAAAGAUGAGAGAAAAUUGGUUACGGUGGUUUGGACAUGUGCAAAGAAGGCUUACUGACACUCCGGUUAGAAGAUGCAACUACGGGAUAGAGGUCCAUGGCCGAAAGGGUAGAGGAAGACCUAGGAAAACUUUGGAAGAGACUGUAAGAAAAGACUUAGAGUACUUGGAUUUAACGGAGGACAUGAUACAGAACCGAGCGCAAUGGCGUUCCAGGAUUCAUAUAGCCGACCCCACUUAGUAGGAAAAUGUUUUGUUGUUGUUGUUGUGGUGUUGUUGGCCACAUAGUGGGCUGCUGUGCUUUGAAUGCCAAGCCCUUCAUAGAGGGCAGUUGCCACGGUAGUGGUAUUUCCAGACCUAUUGGGUCUUGCGGUAAUUGUUUCUGGCCCAUUGUAAUGGGCUGCUAUUGCAGCCAAGCCAGGAUCGGCUUCGGCCUUCUUUCCCAGUGGGAUAACGGCUCCUUCUCCAGCCAUCGCAGCAAGCUUGUGUUUUGGUUUUCUGUGUUCCUGGUUCCUGGACGUUCUGCAGGUCUAUCCCUUGUCUUGGAAUGCAGCAGUACAGAUAGUUCUAGGAUUGGAGAGAGACCAGGCCAAAAAAAAGGGGCUCUGAUUCCAAGAUAAAGUUUGUAUAUUUUGGUUAAUUGAUUAUUCUCUCUCCAAUAUGGAGACAAUAUAUAUACAUCCACACGUUGUGGCACAAGGAAUAAUAAAGGAGAAUGUAUCCUAAACUAGGAAGGAAUCUCUCUAAUCUAGGAAACCAAAUUACAUUCCAAGACUAACUAGUGAAUCACGUCAACAAAAUCUAUCUGAUAUAAUUAUUGGUAGACGUAAGAAGUUUGAAUUGCUCAAACCGGAAGGAAGUUGGAGGCUAUUGGCCAGUUACUCAUUGGUGGUCAUAUUUUUAGAUAAAAUAUAGGGAAUUGUUAGUGGCACUACAAAUAUAUAACAAUGAUCGACUAAACUAAUUGAUGUUUUGGUCAAGAGGUGUUGAAGAAUAGUAUAGCAGCUGUCAUUUCCAAAUUAUAACGGCUAAAAAUUCCAGUACAUCUUAUACACUGAGCAUAGUAGAAUUGUUGUCUUCGUAGUUGCAUGGAAAUCUUGAGGGAUGGCUGACAUGGUCAUGGACAGUGCAAAAGCAAUCAGAAGUCUACACCAGGAUAGAAUUAUUUGUGGUAUUUUUCGGUGUACUUUAAUCCCUAGUUUACUCAUCAUGUGACGGUCAAGAUUUUUUAUUUGUUACUUCUCACUCAAGAGAAACAAAGAAAGUUAACUCUUGACGUUUAUGAUGACUCCGUAGUCGUUUAUUAGACCUAAAUUUCUCUUGCAAAACUACGGAUUUUUUUUUUUUUUUGUGUGGAUCUGAUAUCAAUAGAUCAUGUGCUAAACUCUGUCUCACAUAAAACUUCGAUAUAUUUUUCAACAGGGCUCAUGUGAUCGGGCACGUUAUAACAGUACUAUUAGUGAGUCACUAGGUAGUGGUUUCUUGAUAACGUGGAGAUGGGGUUUUGAACAGCUGCUAGGAAGCUUACUGUACUGAUACUCAUUUGGAUGAAGAUGAGAACAUCAAGUUUGGAUCUUGUAAUACUGUGUAUUUCCCCCAAUUUUAUUGGAUUAGUUAUAAAAAUGAGCGUUGCUAUGCCGAUCCAACUGUUAUAUUUCUUACCGGCUUUAUAACUUAAAAAGUAAGUGACAAAUCAAAUGUAAGAUGGUAAGAAAAUAGACCAUGUGAGUACGCAAUAUUUGAGCAGAAAAACCGAGUACAUACCAUAUUGAACCAAAGGUUUGAAAUCAUUUAUUUUAUACUUUAUACCAAUAAAAUUCUUGAUUCUAUGUAAAACAACUUAAUCUUAUUAGGUUGGUCAAAGUAUGAGAAAAUUAUUAUCGCGAUAUAAAUUCGCUUCACGUAAGACACCCAUCUUAGUGCAAAAUCCAGUUUGAGGAGAAAACGUUUGAUGUUGAUCAUACUCUUCAAUUCGAGAUUGCUAAGGGUAUAUAUAAAAGUUCCCUUUUUGUAACCAUAAAUAUAGAGUUCUUAUUCUAUAUAUACAUUAAAAACAGACUACAAAUUUACACUCAAAAGUUAGAGCUAACAAAACCUCAGGUAGCAAAAUUGUACUUGCAUUUCAAGUAGUCUAGAAAUGAAUGACAAAAAAGGAAGCUAGCUGCAUACUAUUAUUCUUCUGUACUCUCCCUCUUUCAACAAUCUCACGGAGGUUUAGACCUGGCAACAAAAACAUGGCAGUUGAGGUCAAUUACGGGAAAUCUUCAAAUAGUGGGGAGAGAGAGAGAGAGAGAGAGAGAGAGAGAGAGAGAGAGAGAGAGGCAUGAAAACGCUGAAAGCAGUAGUAAGUAGUUUUACUUUACUUGUUCUGUGUGGGAUUUGGAGUGCUUGGAGGAAUCCUUCUAAAGCUUGAGCCAAUUUGCUUAUUAGGGUUCUUCUUCUUGUCUGCCUCCAAAUCUUUAAGACCUUGUGAUGAAGUUGAAAAAUCUGCUUCUGAUGCAGCUGCCGAAGCAGAAGCCAAUGGACGUGCUUCUGCUGUUGCAACAUUAGGCCACGUCGAAAAUACCAUGGAAAUUGCAAGAGCCAAAGCAGCCAGAAUUCUAGACCAACUCUUCAUAUUUUUGAUAACUUUUAGAGUGAGUGAAGUGAAGAUGGAUAUUUUGGAAGAAGCUUAUGAUUAGAUGGGACAACAAAUGUUUAAUUUAUACCAAAUUUUGUUUGGAAAAAAAGUUGAAAAAAAAAACCUAUCACUCACACUUUUUUUAUUUUUGACUAUUGAAUUGAAUAAAUUACACAAAAAUAACAAACAUAAUUGAACAUGAGUAUGUAGAAAAAUAAAAAAAUUUGUAUUUAUCGUUUCUCAAAAAAUUCUCAUUUGGGAUCUGAUACGAGUGGGAUCAUGUGCUCAAACUUUGACUGAUGAAUGCUGCAGAUUUUGUUGAAAAAAGAUGAUGUAUUUGUUUUUGGUAAUUGGGGUCAUGUGAUGAGGCACAUGAUUUUGAUAUUGAUAGUAAUAUUAAUUGUGUUUUGGGAAGCCAAAAGAGUGGUUAUUAUGUUAAUAGUGAUAAGGCAGUGGUACUAGAAUUAGGACAGUGUUGGAUCUGAAGUGUUUAAACAAUAUGGUAGAAGCUGACUAGAGAGUGUAGCAGUUGGUAGUAGGUGGCAUACACACAGCUGUGGGAUUGAAGCGUCUCAAUCUGCACCUUCUUGAGCUAUGCAUGGUUGACACUUAUAAAAGCAUAGUUCAUAAACCAUGCAAAGCUGGCACCUUUCGGAUCCUCUUUAUGAAGCUCUCGGAGAUCUGUAAAUUAUAUCCGUUCAUUGUACAUCGAGCGGUCAAAAAUUAUUUUAAAUAUUUUUACUGAAAAUUUAACUUUCCCCCUCCAAACUCAUUUUUUCUAGCCUCUAGCCCAUCAUAUAAUAUUUAUCCGAAUAAAACCCAAUGAUUAGGAUCCAACUAAGCAACUUACCAAAUUAAGUUUGUGUGUCUGUUUUUAUAAUUUUUGGAUCCCUAAUAUACCCCCAUCUAAGCAAGUAUGGAAAGUUCUUGUAAUUUUGUUUUAAUUGAUCACGUGCAUUGAAUUUGGUGAGGUCUUGUAGCCAUGAAAUAUGGUUCUAGAUGGAGGAAUUAAUUUGGAAACUUUUUUAGUUUUGACAAUAAAUUUCAAUUUGAAUAUACCUAAUUUAGUGUUUAUUUUCAACAAUAUCUAUUGCUUAAUUUUAUGAAAAUAAUUCACCUACUAUGAAAAUUAAUUUUAUGAAAACAAUAUCUAUUGUUUAAUUUUAUACCUACAGUAUAAUUACAAGAAAAUAGUUUACCUACUAUGAAAAUUAAUUUUUUCAAAACAAUAUCUAUUGUUAAAUUUUACGAAAAUAAUUUACCUAUUGUAUAAUUACUGAAAAUUAAUGUGCCUACUUUUUAAAUUUGUAACAAAAUUAAUUUACCUACUUCUUUUUAUGGUAUUAGUAUACAUAAAUGUAGAAUAUAUGUCCGUAUAUAUUUGAUCUAAUUAGGUUUUGGAUUGGAGGAGUUCACACAAAAUUAAAAAUAUAUUAAACAAAUUAAAUGUCUAAAAGAAACGUAUAAGAGAUUUGGUGGCAUGAUUUUGUAAAUAAACUCAAAUUCAUGGACAUCUUUUAUCCAACAUGACAUCAUAUUUAAAAUUUGGGUUUUAUUUAGAAGUUAUAAUAUAUGUGGGUUUUUGUCUAGAGUUUAAGAAUUGCAAGGAUUUAAAUCUAAAGAACCCAUAUUUUUAUUUAAAAUUAAAUACAAACAGGACCUGACAAAAACUUACCACACGAUGUACGAUGAACAGACACAAUUUAUGGAUCCUCACCAAAAAAGGAUCCGGAGAGGAUCUUGUUGACCUUGGGCCUGAGGGUGGGUUUGUCGCCCAUUACCAUAGCCACGACGUCAUAUGUGGCUGCUGGAAUUGGUCGCAUGUGCUUCAAGCGAAGUGUUCGAGCCAGUGGGUCGAGCUUGAUGAUUUCUCAUCAAAAGCUAGUUCUGCUUUUUAGUGAGAAAUAAAACAGAAAUCAAAUUCGAAAAUUUGGUGAACUUUUGUGCCCUAUAUUAUUGUUGCAGGACAAUAUUGGUGGCAUGGAAGGUCGAAUAGGUCUUCUCUAGGAGAUUUGCAUCUGUUAAGCCAUCUUUACAGAACUUAAACAAUGAUCGGAUUCUACAAACUUCAGAGUUGUAUUCAUUCACGAACUUCAAUUCUUGGAAGCGUAAAUGCUGCUAGUCAUGCUUCAUGCAAGUAAAUGCCUUUCUGGUGAUUAAAACGAUCAGCCAGAGCAAGCCAGAGGGUGCGUAGAUCCUCCUCAACAAGGUACUCAGUCUGCAGUGCAUCAUUGAUGUGUCUUCGAAUGAAGAUCAUUGCAAUAGCUCUCUCAGUUUCGUAGACGGGUUGUCGUAGGUAGGUUCCUCAAUGGUGGCUCUAGUACCCUUUGCAGUAAGGUAGAGUUUCACGUCUUGAACCCAUUUCAUGUAGUUUCUUUCAAAUACUUCCAAAGCGGUUAAAUCAGGCUUGUUCAAGUUCGACAUAUCCCUAAAACGGAGGGUACAACAAAACGUAGUUAGUCAUAUGGUAAUCCAUAGACAUACAUCGUAGAACAUUUGGGUUCUGUAGACAUGUAUUGGUUUAAUUUAAGCAUGAAAGCUACAGGUUUCAUGUGGUAAGUUUUGAAUGAAACUUCGGGUUUCAAAGGCACUAAAUAUGAAAUUACAAGUUCAAUUUAGUUUUAUGAACGAUUAGUUCAUAAAGGAGAUGUUCAUGCAAGAACACAGAAUGCAAUAUGCUGAUUUUAAGUGUAGUGGAUUUGAGUUGCUUAGGGAACUCAAGUGUGAGAACUUCUAGACUAUGAAAUGAUGUCAAUGGUUCAAAGUAGAAAAAUAAAUUAUUGAAUCGUUAAUGUCCAAAAGUGAUCUUCAAGUCAAUAAUUUUGGAUUAAUUAUCAGAUUAAUGAACUGCGAGUCACUUUUAAUUAAUUCAAUAGAUCGGGACCAAACGGGGGUGUGGAAGCAAAAUAAUGACAGACGGGUCAUAUUAGCUUCAAUUGGUGAUAGGCCAAAGUACCCCAAAUAAUAUUUGGGUAUGACUUAUAAUGCGGGAAUGCCAGAAAUUGACAUUGGGUUGAAAAAGAGAACGCGACCUAGCACAAAAAAAAAAAAAAAGGUUGACGGCGGUGCGAGGAUAGGCCUUGCAGCACGGCUACAGGCCAGUGGGCAAGCCUCUGGGCUAUAUGGUAUGUGUAAGUCCAACAGGAAGUGCUACUGUUUUGGGCAAAAAACAGGGCAUAGGUGUAGGCCCAUCAUGUACUGGCCUGCGAGUUGGUGUAGGGAAGCCCAACCAAGGCUGGGGUCUACUUUUUUGGGUUAGGGAAAGUGAAGCCUAGCAGCAUAAGCUUCUGCCUAGCAACAACAAGCUGCUGCAAGUAGGCCUGAGCAUGGGACAUGAAAAGCCUAGCAGCUCUAGGUUGAUGAAGUUGAGCCAGGAACGAGCAAGACAAGGCUAAGAAAGCAUUCAGGCCUUCUCAGUUUGGCUAGAGGCUUUAGGUCCGUGAUUACCCUAUGAGGCCUAGGGCCUGGGUUGUUUGGCUUGAGUAGCAAAGCCCAAAGAGCUGUUGUCGUGUGGUCUAGGGCUUCAAACGACGACGUUCCCAUGUUUGCUCCACAUGGAUGGGCUGCAGGCCAGCUACAGUGGUUGGCGAUGGUGCCUAGCGGUGGCGAGCAGCAGCCAUGCUGCAUAUUUCCUAGAUUUUUCUUUUUUUCGACUUUUCUAGGGUUUUAAGAACCCUAAGUUGCUUCUAAUUUAUUUAUAUGCUUUGACUCACAAAUUCCACAUAGAAAAAAAAUAAUUGCGUAAUGCAUGAAAAGUAUAUGUGUAUGUACACACACACACACACACACACACACACAUACAUACAUACAUACUAGCCUUCAUGCACACGCUCACGCGCGUGCAGAAGACAUUUUUUGGAUCACGGCGUGCUACGCAUGACUUACACGUUUUAAAUGUAUUUAUAUGCGUAAAUUGACAAAAGGAAAGUCAAAUAUUUGAAGUAAAUGAAUAAUCAGAAGAAUAAACUAAUUAAAGCAGUUGAAUUCACAUAAUAAAAUCAGUCUCUAUAGAAUUUACGUUAAGAAUAGAGAAAAUAAUAUUUAAUAAGCAAUUGAUAGAAUCACAUUAUUGUUAGCCCAUUGUGAGACUAAGCUCACCCCUUCCUCCUUAUUAUAGAUAAUAUCAUUUGUUAAAAAUAAAAUAAAAACAAUCAUUUGAUAACUAAUUUAAUCACAGAAAAUAAUAUUUAAUAAACAACUGAUUGAAUCACAUUAUUGCUAGCUCAUUGUGAGGUUAAGCUCACCCUCUCUCCCUUAGUGUAGAUAAUAUCAUUUGUUAAAAAAAAAUCAUUUGACAACUAAUUUAAUCAUAUUAUUAUUCACGUGCGAAAUACCUUUUUUUUUAUAACUGGCAUUACACGCCUCUUAAGAUGUUUUAAACGUGCUUAAAAUAGAAAAAUUGAAUCACAUUAUUGCUAGCCUAUUAUGAUGUACUAAUUUUUUUUUAAAGCACAAAAAAAUUAAUUAUUAAAAAAACACUAUUAAAAUUAUGAAAAUGUCUCUGUCUUAUUUAAUACAUUAUUUUGGGAUGCCUUUGAAGUUUUUUGUCUUGGGGGCAUUUUUGUCCAAAUAUUUUUUGAAGCUUGGUGACACCAAAAGCACUAUUCACCUUUGUAACAAUCAUUUGACAACUAAUUUAAUCAUAUUAUUAUCCGCGUGCGAAAGACCUUUUUUAUAACUAUCAUUGCACGCCUCUUAAGAUGUUUUGAACAUGUUUAAAAAUAGAGAAAUUGAAUCACAUUAUUGCUAGCCUAUUGUGUUCUAAAAGACGUUACGCACUAAUCAGGCAGCAAGCUGGGGUCUAGCGCCUAAGCGCCUAGGCGGGGGUCUAGGUGGACUAGGUGGAUUUAAGUAAAUUUAUUAUAUUUUGCGUAAAUAAGUGUUUGUUUGUACUUAAAAUAUAUAUAAACUACAAAAUAGAAUGACAUAUAUAUUAUGAAGUAUUGGAACAUAAUGAAAAUAUGGGGAACAAACAUAUAAUGUGUGUUCAUUUAAGUAUUCAACAAGUCUCUUACAAUUUAUUGAAAAAAAUAAUAUGCAAAAUGAAAUUUAUUUAUUUUCUAUCUAUGUGAGUCACAACUUAGGCAGGUGCCUAGGCGCGUCUGGGCGGGCUAGACGGGUGCUUAGGCGGUCUAGGCUGGCACCUCAGCAAGUCUAGGCGCCCUUUCUUAAUUUUCAAACGCCUAGGCAUUAAUCGUGGCGGUGACCAGCCGUCUAGCGCCUAGUCGGGGUGUAGGCAAGGAUUUUUAGAACAAUGAUUGUGAGGUACUAAAUUUUUUUUUUUUAAACAAGCAUAAAAUUAAUUAUUUAAAAAAUACUGUUAAAAUGAUGAAAAGGCCCCUGCCUUAUUUGAUGCAUUAUUUUGGGAUGCCUUUACAGUUUUUUGUCUUGGGGGCAUUUUUGUCACAGCCCGUCCCGGAGAUGUACGUUAAUUAUGUUAUCGACGGUGUGAAAUUACCUAAAUAUCCUUGGACGUUGAGAAUUAUUAUGGGAUGUUGUGGUUUAAACUUAAGAUUUUGGACCAAUUAGUUAUAUUCCUCUUUUAGUGGAUCCAAUUAGAACUAAGUGUUCUCUUAGUUGUGAUUGGUGUGCAUUUUGGGACCACACACACAUCCCUACCCUUUCUCUCUCUUCUCUCCCGUACUCUCUCUCUCUCUGUUUCAGUCUCUCUCUCCUAGCUAUAAGUACGGACAAGGGCAAGAACACCCCAAACUUCGCAGAUCGAAGGUUUUGAGUGCACCAUUGUGUUCCUCGUGGUGCUAUGAGUUGAUUGAUAUCCAUUUCAGGUAAGGAUACUUUUGAUACCUCGAGAACCCACGAAACAAAGUUUUAUGCACUGUUCACAUGGACGUAAAACUACUUGUUUCAGGGAACUUGAAGCUCAUAGGGAGCUUUAUGAGGUCCUAAAGAAGCUCAGGGUGGUUCAUUGGAAGAGUUUGGACGUCGGAGGGUCGAGAUCGAAGUUUUUCAAAGUUCAUCGGAUUAUCGAGCUUCCUCAGGUAAAUUCUAGUGGAUUUCAAGGCUUAAAAAUGGUAUAACGUGAUUCUACAUGUUGUUAGCUUUCCAAUGGUUCAAAUUUCAUAAGUUUUGGUGAAGAAUCGAGUGAGAACAAAGGUUUUGAAGUUUUACCCAGUUUUCCGGCGACCGGCGACUCGUUGGAGACGAAGACAGAAUAUUCUGUCAGUUUGGACAGAAUAUGCUGACGCCGUCAGUUAGUUUGGACGUUUACCGUUAGGAUUAAAUGGAAUAUUCCUGACGGCAUUAACUGACGCCAUCAGUGUGCCUGACACAUGGCCGCGCGUGGGGGAGCGUCUAGCCGUGCCAUUGUCGGCGCGUGGGGGCGCGUGAGGCUUCCAAAAAUUUAUCUAAAAAUUUGGGGAUGAUCCUGAGGUUGUGUAGGUCACUGUGGUAUAUUCAUAUACCCAUUUUGAGCUAUGUAUGAUAAGUUAUUAGCUAGUUUUGCCUAUGUGCUUUAAAAUAACGUUUUUAUAGUUAAUUCGCAUAUAGGUGAGACUUGUCCCGAGGACGAGCGUAUCCAAGGGUGACUCGAGGGCUACGACCCUUCGACUUAUCAGUGAGUGGGCUUUUGGUUUUCAGUAUAUAUUAUAUACUUGAUAUUUUUCCCAGAAAUAUGUGUUUAAAUGAUAUUAUGCCAUAAUGCCAUGCAUAUAAGUUUAUAAUUCAUACAUGAAUUGGUAUGUGAUGAUUUAUAUAUAUAAUUGUGGUGUUGUGGACGCUCAGGUAAGCCCAGGUAAGUUAUGUUUGGUUAUGUUUGGUUAUAUGAAUCAUCGAUGAUGUGAUAUGUGAUUGAAUAAUGUUGAGCUCAUAAAACUGCACUUAGGGUGAUUGUGAUUUAGCCAUAGAUAUGGCACAUGCUUGUUUAUUAUGUCACCACCCGCACCAUAUGCUCAUAUUGGAUCCAAUUUAGGUGCACAGUCUUGUCGUACAGACCUUAUUUAUGGUUCGACUCAUAGGUGACUAGCGAUUUAUCGCCUAGCUAUUAUGUGAGAGUAGAAUUGAGCAUGAUUGUAUUACACCCAUUAUUGUCGUAUAGACCUGUUUGUUUGGUUCUGACUCUUGUGCAGUAUGUUGCCGUAUAGGUCAUUGUUUACUCUAUUAUAUCUUGGCAUGACAUACAUAUGAAAAUGAUUAUGUGUAUCAUGAAUUGAAUUGAUAUGAUUUCAUAUAUAUAUAUAUAUAUAUAUAUGUAUGUAUGUAUGUAUAUGCUUAUGUCUUGAUUCUGGGAAAAAAUUAUACAUGUUUUACAGCGAGGAGUUAGUUAUGUUGAUAAAUGAAAUGAUUUUGUAAAACAUUUGUUUUUGCCCACUCACGUUUUCUGUUUUGCGCCCCUCCAGGUUUUAAGUAAGCUUGUUGUUGGUGGCUUGAGGACGUCGGCAGUUCUGACCUAUCUAAAUAAUAGUAGGACAUUCCUGGUACUGUAUAACUAAUACUUAUCCUACUGGACUGCACCUAGACUUAUGCUCUGAGUAGGAGUGUUUACUGUUGUAACUAACUCCUAUCACUUCUUAUUUAUUAGUGCACUCUAGUAAUUUGGUUUUUAAUUAUUCGUAUAUUUCUUAUCAUUAUUGUUUCCGCACUGUGCACAUGGCUACGUCACUCUCACGUAAUAGCCAGCAUGCCUUGAUCUCAGUCGGAGUGUGUCAAUUUUUGUCCAAAUAUUUUUGUUGAAGCUUGGUGACAUCAAAAUCACUAUUAUUGCUAGCCCAUUGUGAGAUUAAGCCCACCCUUCUCCCCUUAGUGUAGAUAAUAUUGUUUGUUAAAAAAAUAAUCAUUUGACAACUAAUUUAAUCACAUUAUUAUCUGUGUACGAAAGACCUUUUUUAUAACUGGCAUUACACGCCUCUUACGAUGUUUUCAACGCAUUUUAAAAUAGAGAAAUUGAAUCACAUUAUUGCUAGCCUAUUGUGAGGUAUUAAUUAAAAAAAAAACACACAAAAAAACAAUUAAAAUGACGAAGGCAUUUUUUUUAGUCACGGCGUGGUACACGCGACUUACACGUUUUAAAUGUAUUUAUAUGUGUAAAUUUACAAAAGAAAAGUCAAAUAUUUGAAGCAAAUGAAUAAUCUUAGAUCAUGCUAGAAGAAACCCCUCAUAAACCAAUUAAAAUAGCUGAAUUCACAUAAUAAAAUCGGUCUCUAUAGAAUUUACAUUAAUAAUAAAGAAAAUAAUAUUUAAUAAACAACUGAUUGAAUUACAUUAUUGCUAGCCCAUUGUGAAGCUAAACCCACCUCAUUCCCCUUAAUGUAGAUAAUAUCAUUUGUUAAAAAAAAAAACAAUCAUUUGACAACUAUUUUAAUCACAUUAUUAUCCACGUGCGAAAGACUUUUUUUAUAACCGGCAUUACAUACCUCUUAAGAAGUUUUGAACGUGUUUAAAAUAUAAAAUAAAAAUAUUUAAUAAACAAUUGAUUGAAUCACAUUAUUGUUAGCCCAUUAUGAGGUUAAGCCCACUGUCACAUCCCCGCCCGGGUCCACCACAUCCCGGGACCACUUCACCACCAUAGCACGAUAUUGUCCACUUUGGGCCCCGACUACGCCUUCAUGGUUUUGUUUUUGGGAACUCACGAGCAACUUCCCAGUGGAUUACCCAUCCUGGGAGUGCUCUGGCCUCCUUCUUGCUUAACUUCGGAGUUCCUACGGAACCCGAAGCCAGUGAGCUCCCAAAAUGCCUCGUGCUAGGUAGGGAUGAGAAUAUACAUUAAUGAUCACUCCUCUGGACGAUGUGGGAUCUUACACCCACCCAUCUCCCUUAGUGUAAAUAAUAUCAUUUGUUAAAAAAAAUAUAUCAUUUGACAACUAAUUUAAUCACAUUAUUAUCCGCAUGCGAAUGACCUUUUUUAUAACCGACAUUACACGCCUCUUAAGAUGUUUUGAACGUGUUUAAAAAUAAAGCAAUUGAAUCACAUUAUUGCUAGCCUAUUGUGAGACACUAAUUUUUUUUUUUCAAAAUAAAAAAAAAACAAACCACAAAAAAAAAUUAAUUAUUAAAAAAAUACUGUUAAAAUGACGAAAAUGCUCAUGCCUUAUUUGUUGCAUUGUUUUGGGAUGCCUUUGAAGUUUUUUAUCUUGGGAGCAUUUUUGUCCAAAUAUUUUUGUUGUUGGUGACAUUAAAAUCACUAUUCACCUUUUUCAUUGGCUUUAUAUAUGUAUAGAAGAUAUAUAUAUAUAUAUAUAUAUAUAUAUAUAUAUAUAUAUAUAUAUAUAUAUAUAUAUAUAUAAGGAAAAUAUAAAUAUAGGGGUUCAUGCAUCAUGAGGAAUGUUUUCAUGCUUCAUUGACGUUUCAAAUAUCUUACUUUAUUUUAAGCGUACCUGAUUAGCAGAAGAAAAUAAAUAAAAGCCUUUGAAUUUUGUGGGAAAAAACCUCCUCCUAGGAUCCUUCAGUUCCUUAACUUCUGGCAAGAGCAUAUUGAUAACGUAUUGUAAGCCUAUUUGAUUGAACUGUAUUUAGGACUAGAGAGGGAGAGGGCUGACAGUAAUUGAGAAAAGAGAGAUUUUAAUUAUAAGGUGCGUGUUGUAUCACCUGAUUGUGCCUUUAUUUAUAGUAGUACGAUAUGUUAAAUCUUUACCCUUAUAGAAUUACAACUCUAAUAGAAUAAUAAAUACUAAAGGGACUAUUCAAAGAUGUCCCGAGAUACACUAGGAUUUACACAAUCACAUUCAUAUUCUAAAUAUAACUGCAACAAAUAAUACAAUAUAAUUGAAUUUUAAGGGCAAUAUACUAAAUAACACACUAUGCGUUUUUCAUGUUCCACACCUUUACAUUUUUUGAAACAAACCAUACCUUUAAGUUAACUCCAUUUUAACUAGGGGUGGGCACGGGCCGGGCCGGGCCCAAAAUUAAAGGAACCGGACCGGACCCGUUUGUAAAUAAAACGGGGCGGGGCGGGGCGGGUUUUGGAUUUUUCAAAAUAGGAUCCGGACCUAACCCAGCCCUUUUAAAACGGGCCGAUUCCUACGGGUCCCCACGGGUCCUAAGGGUAACCUUCAAACGUUGCAUACUCGUCGGUGGCGGAUCAGCAAUGGCUUUAAAAUCAGAGGAGACGAUGCAUUUCUAGCUGCCAUCAAACAAUUUGUUCGUCCAUGGUUUUGAAUCUGCAACAUAACAUUUAUCAAGCGCUCGAUGGCUUGACAAUUACAACCGUAAUCAAACAAUUCAAAGCUAAAAGUACUGAAGACCAACAGUACAUCCACAACAAUGAAGCAUCCACUACGAUAAUCCAUGCCAAGAAACCCAAUGGUUUUAUCCACUAAUUAAAAAAUCAAGAUGGCUCAAGCCGAACUGCUCUUAGAACAAACGAAUUCAUAAAAUACAAAGGGUAUGUUCAAUGAAAACCCAAAUUCUCUUAGAACCCACAACAAAAAACAAAAAACAAAAAACAAAACAAAAACAAAAAAAACAAAGGGCAUUUUCAAUGAAAACCCAGAUGCUCGAAAGUCUAAACUCCACAACAAAUUCAAAAAAAAAAACCCAUCUCAGAUUUCCCACCAUACCUGCAGAUUAAUGAAAACCUAGAUGGGCUAGAUGCCAAAUCUUGCAGAAAAUUAAGAUCUGAGAUGAGACACUGGAAGACUAAGAACAAAGGGCAUAGUGGUCGAUUUCAAUUUGCUUGGCGCUGACGAUGGUGGUGUUUGACAAUCUCGAGGCGCUGAUGUUAAGGAUCUUCAUCCUCUUUGCUUGGGACUGUAGAGUUCGACAAUCUCGAUUUCAAUUUGGAAGAAGAUGAGAUGGUGAUGAAUUUUGAUUUUGAUUGAAGAGUUGGAAGACGGACAGGGGGAAUCGAAGACAGUGAAUUGGAAGAAGAUGAGAUGGUGAUGAAUUUUGUUUGACAAUCUCAAGGCUUUCGUGUUGAGUCGGUGAAUUGUGAUGGCUUUCGUGAAUGAAUGGGAGAGACAAGAGAGAAGUCUGACUCAGAAAAGAUCCAAUCAAACGGUGAAGUGGAGGUGUGAUUAAAUCCAAUCCAAUAAUCCAACGGUAGAAACGGUUUGGGCCGAGCCCCCGUUUUUCCUGAUUUUUAGACCUGCCCCGCCCCGUCAUUUCCUCCACCCUGCCCCGCCCCGCCCCAUUUCUUCUCCAAAAUAUUUAGACCCGCCCCGUACCCGCCCCGAUCCGCUUGGACCCGUCCCGACCCGCGGGUCCAGGACCCGUUUGCCCACCCCUAAUUUUAACCCCACCAUAUGCAUCACAUGUGUCAUUCUCCUAGUUCGUAUUAAAUAAACAUGUCUCCUAGUUCGUCUUGAAUAAACUUGUCAUUAACAAAUGUCUCUCAUGUUUGAUUCAUAUAAAUGAUAGUGAUAACAUAUUGAAUUUUUGUGGCUAGUUCCAAUAUAGUGACGUACUUUUGUUAUAACAUUAUUAAUGCAUUAUAAAAGACCAUUAUAAUAUUACGUAACAAUAUAACAUUAAAAUUUGCGUAAACAUACCAACUGUUAAAUUCCAUCGAACUGUAGUUUCUUUAACAAAAAAUAAAAAAUCACCAAAAAAAAUGAAAAACCCAAUCAAAAAAAUCGCACGCAUCACAUUCAUUUACAAAAAUACCCUUAUAAAGCAACCAACCGACCUCAUUCGCUGUAGGGAGGAUCCGGGAUAUAGUAGUCAUUUGAUCUUGAUCGGAAGAGUUGUGGUCCCUAUGCUAUAUAUAUAUAGCCUAUCAAAGGGUAGGAGUUGUCACUGCGGGGACAGACUCAACAAACAAGGACUUCGAAAAACACCAUUUUAACUGGGAAACCGCUGGAUACGACGUCGUAGGUCGGCUUCUCUCAGCUGCAAUUCGUAAAAUCUCAAGCAGCAAUUGUCAUUGGACGUGCGAUCGAGGUCUCCUGCUUAUCCCCCAAUCGCCGAUCUCCUCAGGUUUGCCCCAAAUUUUGGUCCCUUCUGAUUCCGAUCUGUGUUCUUCAAUUAUGCUGUUUAUUUUUCUUUUUCUUUUUAGUAUGUAAUUUCGAUUUUUCGAAUUUUAAACGCAUAAUUUUUUGUUUGAUUUAAUUUGAAGGUUUGAAGUUUUGGCAGUUGAAAUUAGGGUUAGGUUCGUUGUUCGUGUAAUUUGACUAGUAGAGGGUGAAAUUGCAAUUGAAGUUGGCGAAUUUUUUGUUGGGAUUUUUGUUUAAAACCCUAAAUUGGAAAUGAAUCUUGAAAUUGAAUUAACAGACUUGUUUAUUUAACUGAUUCAGUAAUUUUUAAUGUGUUUGUCUUUCUGGGAAUUGUUCUAAUAUAAUACAUUGUUAGUUUAAUAUGUAGUGUUUGAUUAUUUUACAAGAAUCUAACUAUCUGUGUUACUUUCUUUUAUUUUAUCAGAGGACUGGUACUAAUUAUUUGGAACCAAAGGAGCUAAGUACUGAAUAGUGCUUUAGUUAUUACGUUUUCCGUGAGAUGGCGGAGAAAUCAUGUAUCAAGCGCCUCCAGAAAGAAUAUAGAGCACUCUGCAAGGUACAACUUCUUUUGUUCAUCUGAACUUGUUUUCAGCUUUCAUUUGUAUUCUGUUCAUUGCACUGAAUUUUAUCUUCUGUUCUCUUUCAUAUGUUCUUUGUGGUUUUAUCUAGCUUUUUUUUGACCGGGGUAUAAAUUUUGAUGUUUCACUGCAAUGUCAGUAUAUGGUUAGUUUCUGGAUCGUAUUAUGUUAAGGGUUUUGGCUUCUCUCCAUGUUUUGUUGCAUUAUUGAACAGAUUGAUUAAUGUUGUUUUUUUUGCUAAAUUUGAUAACUGUAACAAAUAUACGUGCAUUAGUUAAAGAAAUGAUGUCUCCUUUUUGCUAUCUUGGAACUUUAUUAUUUUACUCUGGGUGCUGUUAAAAGUUUUAUUUUCGGAUGUGUAGGAACCAGUUUCUCAUAUUGUGGCUCGUCCUCACCCAAACGAUAUUCUUGAAUGGCGUAAGUUUAUUUACGCAGUUUUCAUACUUUUGGGUAUUUUAUCUUUUUAUUGGUUAUGGCAAGUUCAUGAGUGACUACCGCCAUGAGAGGUUAAUGUACCACCAUACUCAUAGGCGUGUUGUAAUUUCCGGAAGUGCAGAAUGCUAAGUGAAACAUGGAAAGCCUGUUUGCUGUCUAAUUAACUCCUUUCCAUAAUCCUUUGCUUCUAUAGUAUUUCUACCUGCGUUGGUAGGGUAUCUAUAUGAUAGUGUAACUUGUUUCUUUUUAGUUCAGGAUUUUAAUGCUUAUUGCUUAUUUCUGAUGCUUCAGACUACGUUUUGGAGGGAAGUGAAGGAACACCUUUUGCAGGUUUGUCUUUAACUCCCCACUGCCAUUGUAUUUUGAUAUGUUGUUUUGGGUUCUUAGCAUAAAUAAUUUAUGAUAUCAAUGCUUGCGUAUUUUUUGAAUUUUCUCUACUCGUUAUAGGUGGAUAUUACUAUGGAAAGAUCAAGUUUCCUCCGAGUACCCAUUUAAACCGCCAGGAAUCAGGUAUCUACUUUUUGGAUGCCAAACUUCUCCAAAAAUGUUAUUUGUGAAUAUUUGUGACAUAUUUCGUCCUGCAGUUGUUUACUUUAUAAGUUUAUAUUGUUGAUUCUAAUUGCGUUUUACGCUUUCCUUGCUGUCUGCAGCAUGACUACCCCAAAUGGAAGAUUCAUGACUCAAAAGAAAAUUUGUUUAUCUAUGAGUGAUUGUAAGUUUUGUGUGGUUCUUUUAGAAGAGAAUAUUUUUUAUGUGUUUCUAGUAAUGGGACUUCAUGUGGUACAUUUGCAGUUCAUCCUGAAAGUUGGAAUCCAAUGUGGUCCGUGUCAAGGUUAGACACAUCUGGGUUUAUUAGAAGCUUGUUUUGUUAUGUUACAUGUUUUUGUACGCUUUCUCUUUGUUAGCAAUUCGCAAUUACAUAUAUAAUACUUGUGGUAAGUUGUAAUUUCACUAACAUCCAUUCUUCAAAUAUGCAGCAUACUCACAGGGCUUCUUUCAUUUAUGGUGAGUCCCUUAUGGCUCUUUGACAUGCUAAUUUAUUUUUCGCCUUCUUCUUCUUGUUCCUUUUCGUUUUUUUUUUUUUUUUAUGUGGGGUAACGGGAACUUUGUUUUUAAUGUGCCAUCAGAUUCUCCUAAUGAAUAAGUUGCUUAAUGAAAGUUGUACUAACUUAUUGAUGCUAUCCUAGUAGAAUCUUAACUUGUUUGGAAGUACAGGUAGCCGUAUCAUUAGUAAAAUGAAUGUGCUAAUUUAUGGCCUUCCUGCUGUAUUCAGUAGUUCAAGCAAAUCAUUUUAUGUUGAACAUGGUUUAUUUAAUUAUUUUAAAAUCCAAUUUUCUUAGAUUUAAUAGUUACUUUGGUUGGAAAUGUCACAUCAUUUUGUUAUUUUUAAAGCAUCUCUAAUCCUUCGAUAUAUCCUUUUUUCACGCAGAUGGACACCAGUCCUACUACUGGCAGUGUGAACACUACUGUUGCUGAGAAGAAACGUCUGGCAAAAGCUUCUCUUGCAUUUAACUCUAAGAAGUAAGUUCACUGGAUCAGCUACAGCUUGUUUUAUAUUCUCUAUUUUCAGAUUAUUUAAGCCACACUGAGGGCUAAAGUAAAAUAACGUUCGAAUAUAUUUGUGGUUGAGUGGCCCAUGCCUGUUUUAUAUCCAUCUGCAUUUGCAUUGGUUAAUGCCACUUGCCAAUUGUGUUGUUUGUACUUCUGUUCAAAAUUUGCUUGAAUUAGGUGAGUUGAGAAUACUAGGUGUCAAAUCAGUUGGCUCAGACAACUAGUGUUUGUGUACAAUGUAUAGAUCGUCCCAAGUAGACCUCAUCAGAUUUUUUUUUCAUAGUAAAGAACAUUGUUCAGAACCACCAAGGGUGUUGCUGAUCAUGGAACCCUUGUGUUUCAACCCGCUUGUAUCUGAUUCUCUUUCAAUCUUUAGUGUACUGUCUGACAAUUUUCCGUUGAAACAGUGUGACAUUCCAGAAAAUCUUUCCCGAGUAUGUGGAGAAGUAUAACCAGCAGCAGCUUACUCCAGAGCAGGUGUCGUCCGAUCCAUCUCAAGAAAACUCGAGGCCCUUGUUGAAAAAGGUUGAUGAUUCAACAGGAGGUAUGAAAAGAGUGGAUGCCUUAAAGGAGGCGGGGAAUAAGAAAAGGCAGUCAGUCCCAACGUGGAUGAUGGUUUUGCUCAUUUCGGUCUUUGGUGUUGUAAUGGCGCUGCCGCUACUUCAACUUUAACAUCUUACAUCCCGAGUAGAAAAUUUAUUGGGGUACGUGGACAUAAAAGCUGUUGCGAGUCGAGGGACUUGUUUAAAGUACUCGUUUUAGGGUUUUAUCUCUGUAUCUAAUAUAAUUUUGUAUAGGAGGUUGAUACUUAAGGUCAGUUGAAUGUGUUGGCUGAUGUUUUUCCUUCUAUGUCAAUGUUUGGUCCUUGUUUGCCUCCCAGUGUUCAAACAUGACAUGAUUGUGAUGUUAUUUCAACUUCAGUUCAGUGGAGUUUCGGUUCGGUCUUUUGGUUGCUACUCUCAUUCAUGCGCACUCACACAAGUUUGUAGCUCGGAUUUUGGUUUACCGAUAAGUAGAUUUGGAAAAUGAAUCGGAUUUGGAUUGGAUCAGCAUUAAAACGUAUUUGGAUCUAUUUGUUCUGGGUUUUGAGAACCAUAUUACUGUACUUGUGGGCCCCAUUUGCCAGCCAUGUAAGCACCUCAAACGGAAAAUUUUACGGUGUUAGAACAAAAGGACUGAUGCUUCAUAUUUAUUAAGUCUAAUGGAAUUUUAGAAAUAUGAAGUCUAAUGGAAUUUUAGUUCAGGAACCAAAGCUACAAUUGACUUAAAGUUAAGGGGUCAAAGCUACAAUUUACUCUUUUUUUUACGCAAUUAUUUAUUAUUGUUACACAACUAAUAUGUAUGUUGUAUUAAGUUGCAUCAAAUUAUUCUCGAAUUAGAUCAGCCUUAAUUCAUACUUUUUUUUCUUCAUGGAAUUGUGGUUGCGGAGAAUGCUACUCCUAUAUCUCACCUUCUUUUUGCGGAUGACUCAGUUUUGUUUUGCUGUGCAACAGAGGAGGCAAGUAAUGUUAAUGAGUUGCUACAAUGAUAUGCGUGUGGAUCAGGGCAAUCAAUUAACUUGGAGGAGCCCUAAAUGACCUCAACAUAUUAAAGAGAAGAUGAUGGCAAUGAUGAAUAUUAAGUAUCAACAGGGGUUUGGUAAGUAUUUAGGCCUAAAGGCAGACUUUGAUGCAUCGAAAAAGUUGGUGUUUCAAAAGGUUCGUAAUAGGGUGGAGGAUCAAUUUAAGGGUGGGUUGAGCAAUUUUUAUCCCAAGCGUGGAAACAAGUCCUUAUUAAAAGUGUGGCUUCGGCACUUGCAAACUAUGCAAUGUCCUACUUCAAGCUCCCAGUGAAUUUGGCUAAAGAAAUUGAGAGCAUGAUCGCAAGUUUUCUUUUAACCUUGCGAUGUUGGCAAAAAUUGGUUGGCAAAUUCUUGGUGAACCGGAGUCUCUUCUUGCCCAAAUUUUGAAAGCCAAAUAUUCUCCGAAUUCUUCGUUCAUGGAUGCUCCUAGGGUCGUUGAACAUCAUGGGGAUGGAAGGGCAUUUUGCAAUGGCGGAAAGUUCUAAGUCGUGUUGGGAAUGGAAGGAGUGUGAGAAUUAAACAAGACACGUGGCUGUCAACUCCAUGAACGUUUAAGCCCAUGCCGGAAAAGGUAGUGGAUUUAAUUGAUACUAAUACUGGUACGUGGAGAAGGAGUGUGGUUGAACGUUGCUUUGGCCAGGAUGAAGCUUCUCAGAUUUUGAGCAUGCCGUUAAGUGUAUUUGGGUCCGAACGGGGUAUAAGGUUGCAGAAGAACAAAGUAAAAAUGGGAACUUGGAAGAAAAGGUAUGGGGGAGACUAGUGGACAUGGCCAUUUAUUUUCUAGCCUUUUCUUUUCACUUUUCCAUGUUCUCGGUUUUAGCAACUGAACUAAAGUUUAGUAGUGUAAAACAAAAGAAUUAUGACACGGGAACUUUAACGAAAAACACCCGGUUCUGUUCACUUUAACGAAAAACCACAUUUUUACACUAAAAAGUCAAUCCUGAUACUAUUCACUUUACCCUUUAUUUUGUCCUUAUCAUUAAAACUCAAAGUUUUCAAGCCAUUUUUAUUAGUUUUCCUAUGACACAUGUAGCAAAGAACUUGUUAACUUUGAUUGCAUAAACGUUAAAAAAGCGUUCAGAGAUAUUGACUUAGCCACACAAUCAGUCAACUAUAAUAAUUUAAUGUUAAAUUCGUCAUUCACGAAAAUCGAACCUAAAAUAUUUCGCUUAAAAAUGAAAUGAAAUAUCACUAUAACUUAAUAUUAACUUAAUUCCCCCGUUUAAUGAAGGAUGUUACAAAUAAUCAAUUGAAAAGUACAAAAACCACCUCAUAAAAGGAGGAAGAAAAAUUUUGUAGGGGGCACUACAUCAAUGGCUUUGAAGCAUCAUUAAAAAUACGAUAAACUGUCAUUUGACCCGUUACACUCGGUCUCACUCUACUCUAUUUGCAAGAAUAAUAAAUAUAUAGUAAGUUGGAUACUAAGUUGAAAAAAGUCCCUUAUUUCUUAGUUGUUUAUGUUCUGUCUGUGGGCAAGCAGAACUGAAGCUCCUUGCUGCAAGAAUUUACCUUUUCCCUCCUAAAACUUUUGCCCAAAUAAAUCCUCAAACCCCACGAAACCUGCUCCGCGUUCGUCGGGCAUUGUGCAUGAAUCACGACUCAGUCCCCAUGACAAAAAGGUAUGGUUCAUUAUUUUUAAUUAUUUUUUAAUGUUUUAAUUAUAGGCAGUGUUACUCCUUUAAUUUAAACAAUUAAAACGAAAAAUGAGUGAGUUUGAAUUUAGGACAUUGUUUUAAAAAUAAAUAAAUAAAAAUAAAAUAAAAUAACUCAGGACACCAUUAGUUGUAGCGGAAGGCGAAGGACCCGGCUUCUUUGCCCUUCUAAGGGCUGGUUUGGUAUUGCUGUGCUUUGAAAAAAAGCUGCUGUGAGAAUAAGCGGCUGUGCUGUGAGAAUAAGCGGCUGUGAAAUAAAUCAGCAGAGUGUUUGGUAAACUUUUUUGUAAAAGUGCUUUUGGAAAAAAAAGCAAUCUGAUAGUGGGUCUUUUCAUUAAAGGAGCACUGUAGUUCUGUGUGCUUUGAAAAAAAGCCAGUUUUCCAAAGCUACAAAUUGCAGCUUCAGCUUUUUCCUUUGAUUUCAGCUUAUUCUCACAGCAGCUUCCAAAAUAAGCCAUUUUUUUUAAGUUUACCAAACACCAAAAACACUCACAGCUUUUUUUCAUAAGAGCUUUUUUUUAAAUCACCUCAACCCCAAACUGGGGCUAAUUCCCAUACACUACCAUUCCUUUCUAUUUUGUGCGGUCAUAGUUAUGUCAUUUCAACAUUUUAUAUUGAUUUUUUUUAUAGAGAUAAUAAGACAAAAAGUAAUAGUGAUAUAAAAUGUUGACGUGGCUUAACCGUGACCGCACAAAUAGGAGGAGAUGAGAGUGUAUGAGAACUCGGAGGGCAGAAAAGCCAGGUCUAAAGGCGAAAACCAAACUAGGACUAUAGUACCACUUGCGGGGUUGAGAGUUGAUUAAUUAUUUACACGAUAUGUUAUAGAGAAUAAAUUUUAGUAAACACAUUAAUCAAUGAUUAAUAAUAAUUUAAUCAUCAACAACAUCAUCAUUAAGUACAAAUUUAGUCUUAAUGGCAUCACUCUUAAUUGUACGAUGACAUGGGACCAUUAGGAGCAUUGUAAUGAAUCACAUGAUGGUGAUCAGAGGAGGUUAAAAUGACUCUGUAAAUUUUUCCGAUCCCUGAAAAAGUAGACUGUCGUGACAAAGCCACCAAUUGAUCAUUUUUUUUCAGAAAAAAAAAAAAAAAAGGUCAUUAAACAGUGGUUAACACUUCGACAAAAAAAAACAGUGGUUAACACUAAUUAGGGUUUGCCAGCUGAAACUUUGCCUUUAAAGUGAUUAUCCGUUUGAUACGUUUUGACUUAUCAAUUGAGCCGUUUUAAGCAUCUUUUGAUCAAUGCUUUCUGUGCUGCCUUCUCAAAUCUGAACACUGCCAUUUCAACCACCAUUUCAGAAGUUCAAAAUUUUCGGGGUUUUUUUUAAACCAGAAUAUAUUGAUGUGGGUUUUCCUGUAAAAGGGUGGUUGGAUUUUGCCUUUUUUGAUCAAUGCUUGUUAGUAGAAAUGGACCACUUCAAUGUAGUUUCAGAGCUUUCUGCUUGAUUGAUUGCUCUUCUUCAACUGUGAAAGGUAGCAAAAGAGUUGAGAAUUUCAUUUCAUUUUCUUGUCUUUAUAAAUCUUUUUUUUUUUCUAAGCAAAGCCAUAUUCGCGGAAGAGGAAUUCCAACCCAAGGCCUCGGCUGCAGGAGUAAACGUUUUCUAACUAUCUUUUUGUUUUUCAUUUUAUUUAGACAAGCAUGAAGAAAUCUCCUACGCAUCCAAAAUAUGAGAUGGAUCAUGAUCACAGCAAUGGAUUCGAUCCUCAUACCGACUUUUAUCAGGUUAGGUUAUUAACUGGUUAGCGUUGGAGCGUCGAGUCUCGUAAUAUUGAUAUUUUGGGCAUUCACCUUUUAAGGACAUGAAUGUAAAAACUACUGUUGUUUUAGCUAUUGUAGUGUACAGGGUUUGAUUUGAAAUCUGAAGUGUGUCACUUUCUUGCUGGAGAACAGUUUUGUAUUCAAUGUAAAAAUAUUCUAUUUACUAAUUUCAUCUGGAUUUAAUUAAUUCUUAAUUCAAUCAGUUUUUGGAAGAAGCCAAACACAAUGUAGUAGAAGGAGACUUCCAGGCACCAUCAGAAGAAGGUGCAGAGAGAAGAUUGGGACAAGAGAAGAAGAAGAAAUCAUGGAAAAAGUUUCUAUUUCCGUGGUUGAAAGGAGAGAAACUGAACAAAACUACUACAAAACCAGCAACCGUAUCUCAUAUUUCUAAUGCGAAGCGGACUAAUGUUUCCGGUCCGGUGUAUGGCACCGGCAAGGCUACGGAUGGUAAGCACCGGGGUCCAAUGUCGGGGCCUAUUGCCAGUCUCUUCAACCCCACAAAGAGAGAAGACAAUGCAAUGCCUUAUAUGUGCCUUGACAAGAAUGGCAGCCCUCAAGUUGGAAAAACUUAUGGGCCAGUUUAUUUGGUGACAAAUUUUCAUGAAGAAGUUGGGGAAUAGAAAAUUGAAAUUGUUAACCUUUCUACUCCACGAAGGAUUUCAACUUAUGGAUUCUGCAUUGGCUGUGAUGGAAACGCAGUUGGAUCAUCGAAUGGAAGAAAACCGGGAAUUCAAGCCGUCUUGGUUGCUUCGAAUCAUCCGAGGAUGGAAAAAGCUGCUGAGAGAUUGUUCUUUAGGUGUGAUGUUAUAGUGUUUCAUUUGUGAGAACGCUGUAAAAUAGGACUUAGAAUACUUGACAACCAAGUCGAUUUAACCAUCUAUAUAUGUAUUCCUUUUCUUAGCCUUUGUAAGUGAUCAAAGGAAGCAAUUAAGAAGUGACGUUUGAUGAUUUAUGCUCUCGCACCUUGUGCUUAUCUCUCGCCUCAUGUCAUGUGUCAGUGGAAGUCAAGGGAGAGAUAGGCACGAGGGGAUACACACCUGUUUGCACAUAAGUUUGUAUCACUCUCGAAAGCGUCUUUGAUGUUAUAUUUCAUUCAAUCUUCAACUGCAUCCUCAUUAUUUAUGUAUUCUUCAUGCUCAGCAGUUAAAAAGAGAAAUAUUUUUUGCAGGAAAGCCGAAUCAUAGUUUCCUUAAUAAAAAAAAGAAAAAAAAAGUUAACUUCGGGAGGGAAACUAUGUACUUGCCCAACAGAGCUUCAUGUACAAUAAUCUGCUUCUGCUAAUGGAGAUAAAGUGUCUGAGGUUAUUCAACUUUCCUUUAUGUGAUAGAGGAAUGGUAUGGCAAUUGAGGGCUUUUAAUACAUCUGAAAUGAUGCUUACUUCAUACGUGUGCACCUGUUAAUUUGUUAGACACGUAAAGAGCCUCGUCAUCCCACAAACAGGGGGGGAAUGGUUUGUCAUUGCGGCUCGGUUUUAUAUCUGCAACGUGAUGAGAGAAAUAGACACAAAGGAAUAUCACAUGAUUAGAGAGAGAGAAACAAAGAGAUACACGAGCGUUUACAAUGCCGAUUCUCUCUAGAACGCAAGAAAAUAUGCAACCGGUUACAAAAAAGAUUAUCUCCGAACACGUAUCCCUCUUGUACUUUACAAGAAGGAACCAUUUAGGAUGACUUGCAGGUACAACUUGCAUCACACAACCUAAGGUCCUAAACUAUACAUGGAUCACAAGCCAUUCUAGCAUUUGUUUGGUCUCAGAAACUGAUAGCAUAAUUACAACACAAAAUGUUGUUUAAUGAUUAAAGAAGCCUUAGAAGUGGUUAGAAAAGGCAGUUGAAACACAUAACAAGAGGGAUGAUAUUGGAUGCUCACUAAUCUGGAAAAUUUUAUGGAAUUAAAAGAGAAACUUCCUCUCAGGAAUAAGACACUCUUUUACACGUCCGGAACACCAAGGGAGUUAAAACACAUGACAUUGUUAUUAGUGGUUCAAAACGCCACCUUGUCAACCCCGGGUGUAGGUGAGUCCUUUCCCUCAGGAAUAACCAAACACUAGAAAGUUAAGAACUUCAAUUGCUAUUUCAUUUCCUUUCUUCUUCAUAGAAUCAUAGGUUAAAAAAAAACAAAGUGUUCAAGGCAUAAUUAAGAAAAUUGAGCCUACAUUAUUCUGUUUUUAAAGUAACUAAGCGAUACAUAUAUUUUACAACUUUUUUGAGAUCUCAAGAUCCAUCUCUUCUAGAAUAAAAGAACAAUUACCAAAUAAAAUCCCCUUAGAAAUUCCUUAUGUCUUCAUCUCCAUAAGAACCCUAAACCAAAAAUUCUCAGGGAUGCAAAAGAUUGCACAUCUAAGACUGUCCUUUCAAAUUAUGUACAAACAUUAAAUCUAGCUUCUUUUCUAACUCGGCCCUCCUCCUCUCCCUCCUCCUUGUUCAACAUCCACAGAACAAGGACUGCAGGGACUAAUCCUCCUAUCCCUGCUCAACAGCCUCUUUAGUGAUCUCAACCGCGUCGGUACCGGUGACUUCAAGUCCUCCUCUCCGGCGAACCUGUUACUUGAAGGCGAAGGCGAAGGCGAAGGCGAAGGCGAAGGCGAAGCAGAUGGUGUCUCGCUUGGUAUAUCAAUGACCAACAUCCCAUCCGGCCUAUUACUUGCAGAUGACAAAGAUGAUGGAGAUGGGCUGGGUGGUGAUGAAGGCCCUUCUUCCUCCAAACCCGCACCCGGCCCGGAGCUCACCCGGCUCUGGUUCCCCCAGAACAACACAUUUGUUGGGAAAAUCGGAGCCUCAAUCGAAAACCCAGAUGCCAAAUUCGCAGUUGGUGAAUGAAUUUCAACACCACCAGCACUCUCUUCCAAUGCAGAAGAACUAGAACCGACAGAGCUUUGAGGAGCAACAGGGUUUCUACAGAGUGGACACGUGGAGUGAGACUGAAACCACAUGUCGAUACAAUCGACAUGGAAUCCAUGGCUGCAUUUCGGGAGCAGCCUUGCUUUCUCGCCGUGGACGAGCUCGGAGAGACAAACCGCGCAUUCGAGACCGUCUUUGAAGUCAUCGGAAGGAAACACUACUAAUGGUAAGGACCUGAGGACUAAAGGGUCGAGCCCUUUCCGCACUGCGGCAACUGGGUCCUGCCCGGGAGCGAAAACGAAGCGGCGGCGACGGCGUCGGGACUGGCCGCGAACUGACGAGGUGAGGUCGUCAUCUGCCGGCCACAAGUACCAUUUGGCGUAGAGGUGGAGGCAGAGGACGAAGACGACUACCAGAAAGAGAACCAACACGGCGAUCAUCAUGAUUUUUCCGGCGAGCUCUACGGCGUUCGAGUCGUCGAGUGUUCGACUCAAAGUGGAGUCUCCCAUUGUUGCUGUUUGAACCUAAAGGUGAGAGCUUUACUUGAAAAUUUGAAAAAACGGAAGAAGGGUACUGAGAUUCUAAAGAAAUGAGGAGAACCCAGAUGAGAAAUAUUUGUGUUUUGCUUGCAAUUCAAUUUUCAAUGAAUCUGGGGCUUAAAUAUAUGAGGAGAGAGAGAGAGAGAGAGAGAGAGAGAAAGUUGAAGAGGCAAAAUGGGAUAGGAAGUUGGACUUGUUCUAUAUGGGAGAACUAGGAAGGAAGAAGUAUCUUUGUUCUGAAACUCGCGAAAGCGACGUAGGUGGAGAGAGAGAGAGAGAGAGAGAGAGAGAGAGAGAGAGAGAGAGUUGUAUUUGUAAUUUACACCUCCACUUUCAGGUUUCAGGAUGACUCAGAAGACUUGACUAUUUUGUGGGGAAGACUGGACGGUGAGAAAAUAUGGAAGACGACUGCAACCCAUUCAUUGGGUCCAAAUACGAGAACUGGCGGUGGGAAGAGAUCAUUUUCCUGAAAUCGUUACCGUGCAUCCUAUAAUCAGAAAUUAUUAUAAAAUUUAAAAUUUAAAAUUAAAUAUAAAUAAUAUUUACCGAAAACUAAUCGCAUGAUAUACGAUGAAUGAUCACAAUUAAGAAAUUUCUAAAAUUCCCAAAAAAAAAAUCCAACGAGAAUCCUUUUCCAAAAGAAAGGACCAACUUCGAACCCCACCUCUCAACUCAAUGUCCAUUUCUCAGUGCUUUCCACCUCUAUAACGCCAUUUCUGGCACUUUCUCACUUUGAGACUUCAUUGUUGGAGAAGGAUUUUUACCCAGACAAGGAUUGUCUACCAACCCAUUUCCGAUGCUUUCAUGUGCCCUCUUGUUUUGUGUGAUCACAGUUAAGGCAUGACAAUAUUUUAUAUUAUUUUUUUUAUAGAGAUAAUAAAACAAAAAUGAAUAGUAAUAUAAAAUGUUGACGUGACUUAACCGUGAUCACAUAAACAGAAAGGCACACGAGAACACCAGAAGUGGGAGGGCAAACAAUCUUUGUCCUUUUUACCUGUCCCAUUACCAUUUUCUUCCAUUUAUUUCUCUUACAUUCUUCUUUUUUAUCUUUUUGUCUAUAUAAAAAAUUCAAAACAAGAUGUAGACGUAGCAUAAUCGUAACUAUUUAAAUAUGAGAAGAUGAAAGGGGAGAGAGAUUAGAAAAUGAGAUAAUCCUACUCCCAUUGUUUCACUUUCAAGUUAAAAUAAACCCUUGUAGGCUUGUACUGACAAAGAACUUUCAUGCGACGAGGAUAUUGUCACAAUAUGUAAAUUUCUUCUUUAAUCACUAUUAGGAAACUUGGUUGUGACAUCACAUCCCUCAUGUUUUUUAGCAGUAAUAAAUUAAAAUGGUUUCAGAUUUGCAGCUGAGGACUUAUUUUUCAUUCACGACAAGUAUUAACUUUUCAUGGCAUACCAAGGUCAUGUCCAACCGAAGGGUCCAGAUGGCUAAAAAUAGUUUGAAAACCGUCUCCAACUAAGGGUCAAGCCAAAGGGCUCGGGCCCACUGGACAAAAAAGGGCAAAAGGGCCAACCAGCUGGCCUAUAGGAACCAGCCAACUAGCCCGGGCCGGGCCAUAAAAUUUAAACACAACGGCUAGCUAACGUCAGUUACUGCUGGAUUUGAAUUUUUUUUUUUGGGAAAAAUUUAAAACAUUCUCAUAUUUUUUCUAUAAAUAUCUAAGCCAUUCCUACACAAUUUCUUACAUAAUUUUUGUGGAUGCAAAUUUCUUCCUCCUUGUUCUUAGAUAAAAUUGCACCUACAAAACAAAUAACACCUUAAGUCAAGGCCAAGAGCCUCACGCGCCCACGAUGAAGGGGGCUUUGGCCAAAGAAACUCUGAUGCCAAAGUUAGAAUUUUGAGAGAAAAGUGUUUGGAGAAUUUUGAGAAUUUAGCAAGAGAAUUGGAAUUGAGUUUUGGAGAGAAUGAUGAGGUUUUUAUAGGGGUGUGGCCGGGCCCCUUGGGAAAGGGAGAACCGGCCACUUGGAUGAAUUUGUGGGCUAGGUUCAUGAUUUGUGUUUAAUUAGCUAAUUAAUUAAAUAAUUAACCAAUUAAUUUAGCUAAUUAAUAUAAUAAAUAUGGAAUGAUUUAAGGGUUACCUUGUGGAGAAGAUUUGAUGAGGAUGGAUGAAAUAAGUUUAAAAAUAAAUACCUAUUUGGGAACUUUUGACUUAAUUAAGGGAGGAUUGUCCACUGCUCACGUGUAGGAAUUCAGUUGUGCCUCGAGGGUAAUUUUGUCAUUUUUACCCAAAAAUCCACGUGUCGCCUCUUGAUUAUUUUUUGCUCCACAAAUGCCCCCACACCUGCUGGGCUGUUCGUAGGAAAGGGCAGCAGGUGUAGAGAUCUUCAUCUUUGAUGUAGAUUCUCACUUGGACUUGGAAUUAGAUUCUUCUGGGCAUGGACCAAUGAGAAGGUGUGGUAGGGGCCACGAUUUGGGCUACUUGAUUUCUCAGCUGCCGUAGAUAGAGCAGUCAAGGAUGGAGUUGCCAAGAUUGAAGCUACUAAAGAUGAAAUGUCGAAUAAGCGAGCUGUUGAGUGCAAAGUGGUUGCUGCCCCCUGACCAUUUGAUGCCUAGUUGGUCUUCAAGCAUUUGAUCUUUUGAGCUAUAUGACAUUCUCGCACUAGAGAGCUUACCCAGAUAGGUUUAGGGAAUUAGUUUACCCUAUCACAUUAGAGAUCAAUUAGUUUACCUUCUCGCACUGGAGAACAAUUAAUUUACCUUCUCGCACUGGAGAGCAAUAAGUUUACCCUUUUGCACUGGAAAGCAAUUAGUCUGCUGUGCGAGGGCGCUCGUCAACUCUAUAACUUGUCAAGACAAGUGUUAUUCUCUAUUUGGGUUGGAAGAGCUUGGAAGAAAUGUGUCUCCUUGAGCAGCGGAAAUGUGGUAGACUAUGGGCGCGAGAUUUAAGUUAGGAAAUGUCAAAUUCGUUGAGAAAUGUGGUGAAAAUGCCCAGGGUUCAAUCGUACGUCCAUAAAUUUGAAGUCGGGAUGGUUAAACUAAUCUUAGAUUGAUUUAGGCUGCUUGGAAGGCCACGGGAGUAGGCUGGGCCACGGUAGUGGGCUGCUCGGCGUGUGGCAUACGUGAGUGCAAGGCUAGGGCUCACGCUGGGCCUGGCUUGGUUGCCUUACAGCGUGGGCUGCAGAUUAAGAUGUGGGCUAAGUGGAUGAGGCUUGGGCAUGCGCUGCUAGGGCAUCGGCUUAGGCUACUUCUAGCACUUGGGCUUGUUGCUGCGAAGUGGCGUGGGCCUGAGCUGGUGGCUGCCUCGCUGCCCCCUGCUCACCGUGGGCUCACUACCAUGGAGCUGGCCCAUUCCCCACUGCCACUACAGUCUCUGUGGUUGCCAUAGUGGUGGUGCUCCUUAGUGGCAAAGUUACUCCUCUUGCCAUUGUGUUGAGCCUUGUGGAUCGUCGUGGUGGGGCUACGUCUCGUCCUCCAUCAUUCGAUCCGGAUCUUUGAACAUAGGAAGUUUCGUUCGUCGAGGUUUUCAAAUCCCUUGCCAUUGUACUUUUCUUUUACGUUUUACCAAAGAAUUUUUAGAAAUAAAAAUUCUAAGAAUAAGAAUGUACGAAAAAUCUACAAAUGAACAAGAAAACGAAAAACCUUAGAUGCGAGAGUCUUCUACGAGUGUGUGACUCAACUCUCAAUGAAAGCACCAAUUUGUGGAUGCAAAUUUCUUCCUCCUUGUUCUUGGACAAAAUUGCACCUACAAAACAAAUAACACCUUAGGUAAAGGCCAAGAGCCUCACGUGCCCACGAUGAAAGGGGGCUUUGGCCAAAAAAACCCCGAUGCCAAAGUUAGAAUUUAGAGAGAAAAGUGUUUGGAGAAUUUUGAGAAUUUAGCAAGAGAAUUGGAAUUGAGUUUUGGAGAGAAUGAUGAGGUUUUUAUAAGGGUGUGGCCAGCCCCUUUGGGAGAGGGAGAACCGGCUACUUUGAUGGAUUUGUGGGCUAGGUUCAUGAUUUGUGUUUAAUUAGCUAAUUAAUUGAAUAAUUAACCAAUUAAUUUAGUUAAUUAAUAUAAUAAAUAGGGAAUGAUUUAGGGGUUACCAUGUGGAGAAGAUUUGAUGAGGAUGAAUGAAAUAGGUUUAAAAAUAAAUACCUAUUUGGGCACUUUUGACUUGAUUGAGGGAUGAUUGUCUACUGCUCGCAUGUAGGAAUUCCACUGAUCACAAAAAACUGUCUCCAACCAAGAGCCAAAGGGCCAUAGAGCCAAACAUAAUUUAUUAUUUAAAAAUUACAACAACUUAAAUUUAAAAACUACAAAUUAAAUUCAUAAAAAAAAAAAUUUGGCCCAAAAUAUUUUUUUGAAUCCAACGAUAACUAGUUGUUGUAUUUGAAAUUUUGGCCUACCAUUCUUGUCGGAUAUAACCGACAGAAAUAAGUAUAAUGAUGUCGGAUAUAACCGACAAAAACAAUGAAAAUUCUGGCUCAGCCCAGGGUUGGCUGGCUGAGUUGGGCCAGCCUGUUGGCCAUUUAGCUCUUUUUGGUCCAGUGGGGCCCACGAGCCCUUUGGCCUAGCCCUUAGUUGUUGACGGUUUUCGGGCUAUUUUCGGCCUUUUGGCCCUCUGGACCCUUCAGUUGGAGAUGACCUAAGAAAUAUGGCCAUGGACUGUUCAUUAAAAUAUUACUUUCUUAGAGGACCAGAGGGCUAAAACGAGCCUUUGGCCCUCCAAGAAAUUAAUAUUUUAAUGAACAGUACACGGCUAUAUUUGCUUCAAUCUCCAACCGAGGGCCAUAUGGCUCGUUUUAGCCAUGUCACAAAAAACCGUCUCUAACAGAGGGUCAAAGGGCUAUAGGGCCAAACGUAAUUUAUUAUUUAAAUUUAAUGUUAUUUAAUGUUGUUUCAUGUUACUUAAUUUAAUUUAAUGUUGUAUAAUGGCUUAGGAAGUUAUAAAAAAAAUAUAAUUUUAACAUAACAAUUUUAAAAAAAUUUGUAAAAAAAUAAUAAAAAAUAAUGGCUAGCUGACGUCAGCUAGCCGUUGUAAUUGAAUUUUGGCCUAGCAUUCCUGUCAAAUAUAACCGACAGGAAUAAUUAACAAUACUGUCAGUUAUAUCCGACAGGAAUACUCAGCCCUCUAGCCCAGCCUGGGGCUGACUAGCUAGCUGGAUUGGACCAGCCCUUUUACCCUUUGGCCCUUUCAAAUUUCGUGAGGCCCACUAGCCCUCUGGCCUAACCCUCGGUUGGAGACGGUUUUCGGGCUAUUUUCGGCCCUCUGGCCCUCUGGACUCUUCGGUUGAAGAUGACCUAAGAUGACCACAAUGACAUUGAAGUUCUAAGUUUUUAACUCAUGACUAAUUAGCACUAGUAAUUAACUUGACCGCUUAAGCUUAGGUUUGUAGAUUUGAAUUUGAUGAUGAACAUUUGAGAAGCAAAAUAGGUCUGGUCAAUGCUGCAAUAGUGGCUAAGUUGGUGGUUAGUGUAAAUUUUACGUCCAAAGCUGUGCUUUUUCAACCACUUUGGUGGAUUAUGUUUGUCUGUUCAACACCUUCUUUUUGGAAUGAAGAACUUGGUUUGACAUUAUUGAGUAGCAAGAGAGAAGAAAUUACAAUACGAAAGGACUUCAGGGUGUCAUAUCCAAACAUCUUAUAGAUCGUCAAAUAAAAAAAAAUUAACUUACAUAACAUUACGUAAAUUGGUUCGAAACAAUAUUAUAACGCGCCUACAGUGGUGUGUAUAAUACAUCACAUCAGCAGCGCAUCUUUACUUCAAAUGUCAAUACAUGCCUAUUUUUCGAAUUGUUAGAUUAUUGGGAAAAAUACUGGUGUGGGGUCUGCCCCAGCAUUAUCACAUGAAUAAAGAUUUAUUCAUAUGUUCUGUUUUUAAGCAAUGUUUAAAGUCUUAACGCAAAUCUCAAAGCAACUAAUUGCACCUAAACCCUAAUCUCUAAUCCGGAAAGUUAGCUGAUUACCAGCUGCUUUUGAUGUCGGAGUCAAAUGUUUUUCAACUUUUUGUUCCCUUUAUUUUCUCUUUCGUCCUUAAUAAAGUUUUUGUAUAAGAUGAAUGGUGAACGACGAUCUCUUUUAACACUAGAAAAAGAAAUAUCGUUAAAUAUAAAAAACUAAUUAGUCAUCCUAAAUGGUGUUUAGGCACGAGGUAAAAGAGCAAACUCGCAUCAUUCUUGGGUAAGUUGCAGGAUGCAGUUGAGCUGUCAUGGCUGUGGCAUACUAUGUGCUUAAUUUGUUUAUAAAAGUUUGUCAAUAAAUCUCGUACUCGUGCAUGUAACAAAGUGAUGUGAGCUGCACAGGUGGAAUCCCUGCAUUGAUCUGAACCGUUUUUUUUUUUUUCAGUACUCCUUCGUUUUCCUAUAUAAAAUUCCUUUCAUUAGUUCUAACAGAUUCUUUUUUACUAGAUGCGGUGUGAAUCAUAUGGCUGAGCGGCUUUGAUUCUCGGUGGUAGUAUGAUUUAGGAUUUUGGUUGUUUUCAGCUAUGUGAGCUCGGAUACGAGUUAUGCAAGAUUUUAGUAUGCGAUACGAUACACACAUACGUAUUUGCCCCUCUCAUGCACACAUUCUUGUUCAACUUUAUCGCUUAUUUCCGUCUAAUUUAUUUAAUCCGAUUGCUAGAAAUAAGAGAGAUAUUACAUGACUAAGGCCCCGUUUGGGAUUGAGGUGAUUUUAAAAAAAGCCACUGUGAAAAAAAGCUGAGGGUCCUUUUUGUGUUUGGUAAACUGAAAAAAAAAUGGCUUAUUUUGGAAGCUGCUGUGAGAAUAAGCUGAAAAUCAAAGGAAAAGCUGAAGCUGCUAUUUGCUGCUUUGAAAAAAAGCCAGUUUUUUCAAAGCACACGGAGCUACAGUGCUCCUUUAAUGAAAAGACACACUAUCAUCCUGCUUUUUUUUCCAAAAGCACUUUCACAAAAAAGUUUACCAAACACUCUACUGGCUUUAUUUCACAGCCGCUUAUUCUCACAGCAUAGCCGCUUAUUCUCACAGCAGCUUUUUUUCAAAGCACAGCAAUACCAAACCAGCCCUAAAUAGGGUGUGUGAAAUCAGCUACUUUUAGUAUUAUGGGUUGUUGUUUUUACAGUUAUGUUGAAAUUUGUAGUUUUUAACCACUUGAGAAGCUGAGCUAUAAUCUUAGUAACAAAAACUCAACAAUCUAGCUCCUGCAAUUGAUCCACUUAAGAUAAAAUCGAUAGAUAGCGUGCCAAAAGGAAUGUAGGGCAGCCAUAUUUUUAGGCUUUUAAUCUGAAUUUAGAAUAUAAUUAAUAGUGAUGAUCACUAGAGCAAGAAAUAAAUGGAAUCGAUGGACAUAAUAAUUGAAAUGAAAUGAUUUUUGUUAGUAACUAAUGAUAGCCAUUCAUGUCAUUCAUUGGUGAAAGCAGAAACACACAGAGAGAAAUGAGUAUUACACUCAUAACUUUGUCUGUUCACAAAGUAUAUGUAUCUAAAAUUGCUCAAAAAAAAAGUGUAUGUAUCUAAAAAGAUUCCUGAGGAAUAGAUAUGCCUACAAAAGUUGCUGCUGCUGCUGGUUCUACUAUCACUGUCAUAGGGAGAGAGGCCAAUGCAGUUUGACACCGGGCCGCAAGGCUUUAUUUUAUAGCUUGAGGGGCCAUAGCUUUAAGGCUUUAGUCAUACAUAUAUUACUGAAAAAGUUAAAAAAUUGAAGGAUUUGAUAACUGUUUCGUUAUUAAUUUUUUUUGUUAGAUACGAAAGAAAAAUAUAUGGGAGAAAUGAGAGGUAAAGUGAGGAAGGGUGGAGGAAUGACAUAUAAUACAAAGGAAUUGAGGUUUCAAAAUAAAAUCAAUUGACAAUAUGAGAGUAGCUCAACUUACUUAUAAACUCAUACAAGAUCUCUCUUUCAAUUAAUGUGAGCUUCAUUCUCAAUAUAAUUAGAGAAACGUCCAAAAAUGUAUAUACAAAAUGAUUCUUAAAAUGAAAACUAAAACUCUACUACAACGAAUGAAAAUUGAAACAAAAGACAAAAUGACUAUGAAACGGAGCCAACAAAACUUUUACCGUGUAAUCUACAUAUUUUUCCUCUUUGUUCCUAAAGUUAUAUAUAUUUUCUGGACAAAGUUCCUAAAUUUACACACACACACACACACACACAUAUAUAUAUAUAUAUAUAUAUGGAUCUCAUUGUUCCCCCAUGCAACAGCCAGAUCUCAUUUUUGACUGAGAUGACAUGUUAGAGAAGAAGUUGUAAAUAAAUUUAACAGUGGAGUGGGUGAAUUGGAGUGUACUAAUUCAGUAAUGUCUUAGGAAACUUAACUUUUUCAUCAGCAAGAAAUGUGAAAAAAUAAAUUUACCCCUACGUACGUGAGUAUAAUAUCUGCAUAAUCUCAGAAACCAAAAGAUCUUCCAUUUAUUCACGAAUAGUUUGAAAGCUAGAAGCAACCAUGCACGCGAUGAUUACACUUGGUUAAUGAAUUUAAUCAUUAGCGUAGUCAAAAAUUUGCAUUCAAGGGUCACGAAUAAGAAGCUUCCGAAAAUUAAAUAUACUUUUAUUUAUAAUUGUUAACUACAUAUUCUUAUAUUUUAGAACGAUGUAUCACAAUAUCAUUAUUAAUAAAAUCAAAUACAUUUUUCAUUGUAUAUAACCAAGCUAUCAUUAAACCAUUCACUUCCAUUCAUUUUUCAUAUAAUGUAAUUUUUUACAAUAUUGAUCACUUAAAAAGCUCUCUCAGUUUAGGAAAAGUUGUAAUUUUGGUAUGUUUUAAUUAAAAAAAAAAGUUAAUAAAUGGUCUCUCUGAUUUGUUUGUGUUAGAUAUAAUAUGGGUCAUAUAAAAAUUUAAAGAAGAGAUAUUUGAAGUUAUUGGGGUUAGUGGCAGCCAAUGUCUCCAUGUUGGCUUCGUCAUUAAAUUUAAUUCACAUUUUUUCCUUGUUAUUCGUACGCAAGUGCGUAAAAAAAUAAAAAAGAAUUGAUUUAGAGUUCAUAUGGUUAAAAAUCUCUUCAUUAUCUUUGAUUGUUUUUUUUUCUUUAACAAAUGAUUUUAUCUACACUCAAGGAUGGGGAUGAAUUUAACCUUAUAAUGAGCUAGUAAUAAUAUAGUUCAAAUUCGUCUUUGGCGAGAAUCGAACCUAAAACUUCUCACUUACAAAUAAAGAGGAAUAUUACUAGACCGUAAUACUAAAUGAUUUAGGGUCGUUAAGCUCUUCUUAUCGUGAUGGGUUUUUUUUUUUUUUUUUUUUUUUAAAUAACCAAAUCCUUAUCGUGAUGGUUGAGGGAGGAAGUUUUGGAAUAGCGUUUGUGCUCAGGAAUGUUGAAGUUGACCGGGAAGCAUGCAUAUUAAGAGACAAGGAGAGGAAACUCGUGAAGAUUCCAGAAGGAUAGGCUGCUGCUUUGGAAACUCGUGAAGGUGGCCAACCCAAACCCAAAGCCUUGACGAAACUUGUAUUCUACCUCAUGACGUUCAAAUAUGGGAUUUGGAUCCCAUCUAGAUUUAAAUUACAAGGAUUCUGAGAAGGGGUGUGAUAUCCACACACCUUUUUUUACUUCUUUCACAUUUUUUUAAUUUUCGGCCGUCGGAUCGGAUGAAUUAAAGAAUAUCAAGGGACAGAAAUUAACAAGGGGUGUGGAAGAAGUAAAAAGGGAUGUGUGGAUAGCACACCCCUUCUGAGAAAUCUCACACCUUAACCGUUUAUUUUACAUUGUACGGUUAUAAAUUAUUUUGAAUAUUUUUAUUUAAAAUUAAACAUAAAUAGUAUCUAAUAAAAACUGAUCACACGAUAUACAAUGAACAAUUAAGAUGUAAAAAUCUCUAGAAUUUCCACAAAAGGAUUCUCAUCCCAAAUAUGAGACUUGUUAAUUGGUUUAAAAAUUCAUGUGAUGGGAUGGGAUGUGAUGCUUUACUUUCUUCAAACUAGGACAAAUUCAAGUUGCAAAGGAUCUUUGAUGGGAGUUGGACCAGUCAAGGUCAAAUAGCAUACCUACAAGUAGAUCAAUGUAUCUCUAAACCUUCUCUUCAUCUAAACACACAAAUUUGACUACAAUGCUUGAUUUUGCAUUGCAUUUUAUUAGGUCUUUGUUCUAAGUUUGUUUUGACCCCACUUAUCUGCGGAAGAGUUAUUCUGUCCAGAAAUCGAACUAGUGUCAAAGAGUUCAUUGAAAAACAGGAGAAUGUAGAAAUGUUUUUUUUUUUGCGUCUGAACCGUAUGAUUGAUGUGGUCCACAAAUCAUAUGUAAACGUUUCUUAUAUCUAUACAUUAUGUGACAUGCUGUUAAUAAUUUAUUAAGACGCAGUAAUAGACUAAUAAUUUUUCUUCUCGCAUGCAAAAAGAUCGCACGUCAAUUUGCCUAGUUGGCCUUGGCUCGGCCUCUUUGAAAGACUAUUGGAUUUCUUCACACAUGGCAGCCGUAUCCAAAAGGGAACAUCAAAAGAAGAUUGGGCAACUUUGUGUUUAGGUGCAACAAUAAAAAGGGUAGGUGCAACUGUAAACAUUGGCUUUAGUGUUGAUCUGUCAUUUAAACAUGUGUUCACUGAUUUAAAUAGUAUAUUCUAAAAUAAAUGCGUCGUUCAUGUAUUAUAAAUUUGAAUGAAUUUAAAACACAAAUAUUAACAUAUCACGUGGUGUUACAGUUACAUAUAUUAAUAUUCUCAAUGAUUCAAUUAUUACAAGUACAAAUUAUACAAUGGGAAGAACCUAAUUCCGUGCUAACCAAAUAUGAGAUACUAUUCUAGCAAUUCAUUCUAUGAUGAAUGUGUCGUUCAUCAUCAUGUAUCUAAACUACAUAUUAAUAGAACCCUCUUGUCAGCUAAAAUCUCAUAAAAUUACCAUUCUAACCCUCUUAUCAAACUGUACAUAAAUAAAAAACAUAGGCAUUAAUGUAAUUCACACAACCAAAAUUUUACUUUUUUUAAGCCUCACCUACAUGUGAUUCUAAUAUAUCUCUAAUUAAAAAUAAAAACAUAAAAACAAUAAACUUCUCUCCCCUCUCUCCCAACCCCCAUGUUCUCUCUCACUCUCUUCCUCUCUCCUUCCAUUUUAAGAACAAAAAUAAAAAAUGUUCACACACACACACCUUGUGUGGGCAUAAGCUAGUAUUUAGAAUUAGAAGGCUAAAUUGUCACUCAGUACUACGGUCUGGUGAUAUUCCUCGUCACUUGUAAGUUGUAAGUAAAAGGUCUUAGGUUCAAAUCUCAUAGGUGGCGAAUUCGAUACUCUAUUAUGUUAUCUAUUGUGUGGCUUAGUCGAACUUACCCUCCCGUUGUACUAACAAAAAAAAUUAGAAGACUAAAUUGGAAAUUGGGUACCUUUUGUUUUGGGUGCCCAUAACAUGUCAAUGAACAUAAAAGGCCACUUUUGCAUACCAAUGGGCUCAAAUUGCAAGCCCGCAUAAAAAUAUCAGAACAGAAGCAGCCCAGCGCCGACGCAGUGUGUGAACAUAAAGGCCACUGGAGUGAAAUCUCACCAAAAUAUCAAUCAUCAAAUGGGCUGCAUUCAUUUUUGAACUCAUUCGUUAUCCGUUCUCUGCUGCCACCGUUAUCAGACAGUGUAUGCGUCUGUGGCUCUCGCAGAGUCGCAGUGGCAAAGACCCUCUGCUUUCUUCCUUCCCCGCCACCCAAAUCUCAAUCCACCCUCCUCACUUUUCUGCUUCUGCUUUUCGGCUUUUGCUUUCUGCUCUUCUGGCUCGGUAAGUUCGUGUUGAAAUGCUGGCUGUGCCCAACAGUUGCUGCUGAGUCUGGAAUUGGCUGAAUGAGCUCCCAUGCCUUCACUUGGUACUCUAAUCCAGUCUCUUCCUGCAUUUAUCUUGUGCUUUUGAAUGUGUUUGGUUACAGUUUUAGAAACCCUUUGUGUCGAAUUCAGUGAACUGUUUGUAGCUUUUUCAGUUUGUGGUUAAUUUACUGAUUCAUGGUACUUAGAGCUUUUCCAUGGCACCUGCUGGCUGCUGCACUUAAAUUUAAUGAUAUUAUUGUUAUGAAUUUCGCAGUAAAGGGUAUUUAAGGAAUUUGAAUUAUGUGGCUGGUGACAUUUUGUGUGUGUGUUGGUGUUCAAUUGUCAAAGGACUGAUUUUUAUGUAAAUACUCUUAUUGAUAUUUGUGGAUGUUAGUUUGAUGGAUUUCUAACUCUUUGGCCCUCCUUUGGUGUCAAUGAUUGUAUUGGAUUGGGUAAGUCACUUGUUUCAAUGUAUGUUGAACGAAGAAAUGGAUGACAACUUCCAAAUUUUCUCCAAGUUGAAGGUAGAAGAUAGUUUCUAUUUUGUCGGAAAUGGGAGAAGAUUGAUUAGUAAUGAAGGAAACUAAUCCCUCUUAAUCCCCCACAUGAAUGGUCGGAUUGGUAGGGAUAAGUUUCUUUCAUAACUAGUCUAUCUUCUACCUUCAACUUGGACAAAAUCCGAAGGCUAUCAUCCUUUUCUUCCUUCAACAUAUAUUGAAUCCAGUGAGAUUUCCAAUCCAGUCCUAAAUACCAAAUGAGGCCUUUGUUAAAGAAUUUAGAUUGUUUGGCUACUGGCUAGAAACAUUUUAUGCGUGUCCUAAAAAAUGUUAAAUUGUUAAAGGACUGAUGUUUAUGCAAAUGCUACUUGCUGAUAUUGUUGUGGCCUUGAGGGUAUCUCUUAUAAUGCCUGUCCUUGUUAGCAGAGAUUGCUGCUGCACAGCCUGCCUUCCAAAUUCAUCUCGGUACACUCAGGUCUCAAACCCCUCUUCAUGGUAAAGUAAUUUCAAGUCCAUUCGCCUUCGGAAAUGACAAGAAACUGUCCUCUGCUUGGAAAUUCUCUGGUAUAUCUAUAAAAUUGAACUUCAAUUUGGGGCACAUUAACAUCCCAAGGGGUAGUCUCCGGAUUAAGGCAGUCGCUACUCUUGAAUCCAAAAAUUUGGUUCAGAAUGAGAAUGCACACAUGGGUUUCGACGGGUCACAGCUGGCCAUGGAUUCGAGCACCUGGACAGUUCAGCCUGAGCCUUCAAGUGAAGAUUCCGAAGAAUUGGAUGAAAGGGAGAAGUUAAGGCGAUUGAGGAUUUCUAAUGCUAAUAAAGGGAACACGCCAUGGAACAAAGGCAGAAAGCACAGUCCUGGUAGUGAUAUGAUUAUCCAAUCUGCCUUUUGCGUUACCUAUCUGCAUCCAUUUUGCUUAUCAUGCGCUAAUUAUUAGUAUAAUAUUGCAGAAACCCUUCAGCUGAUCAGAGAGAGGACAAGGCUUGCAAUGCAGAAUCCUAAGGUGAUGUCAUGUAAGAAGAAUUUGUAUGUUCUCAUAGAAUGAUCUUAAUGCCUACAUUCGAAACUUCGCUCUCUAAUAAAACUUUGCACACAUAAACUUAAAUGAUCUACCCGGUACUGUCUAUGUAUGGAGGUUGCAUCUCUUUUGUACCAUUCAGUCAGUGCAUGAUACUUAUAACGAUGAGGUUUAUCGUAGGCAAAAAGCUUUCCCAGUCUAGUUGGUUCCAAGGGAACAUUAGCUAUUUGAAUAUACAGGUCAUUGACUUGUCAAACCAUCUUAUUCUAAGACCCAUCUCUUGAGCGUCUUCCUAAUUCUGCUCGAUUUACUGCUAGUCCUAUUAUUUCAUAGAUAAUGGUAAUCUCCCCCAAGUAUCUUGCAGCUCUUCUACUUUCAAAUGGGCAGGUUAGCCGGUCUUUGUCCUAUGAAGAAACUAAAUGUAUUGUUGAUUGAAGGAUCACUUUGCUAAUGCUUGACCGCUAACCUAAUUUAAAGCACAUACUACUAAAUUUGUAGCCAAUCAAAAGAUAGUGUAUUGCCAAAAAUGUUUGGUUUACAAGGAUGCAACAGGUUUUGUGUUUUUAUGAGAUGGAGGUAACGGGUUCUGUAGAUAAUAAACAUCACUCGAUUGAAAAACGACAAAUUUGUUUGCUCUACUCACAAUAUUUGGCUAUGCAGGUCAAGAUGAAGUUGGUGAACCUUGGACAUGCUCAAAGGUGUGUAUUGCUUUCUUCUGUUUAUAAGGACUUGAGUGCUGUUUUACCACUACCAUCUUUGCCAUCUAAUUUCUUUGCAGUUUGCAUCCAAAGAGUCUGAGAUUACAAGUUUCAAUUUAGUUUUCCCUCAUACCUAUUCAUGUAUCUUUGCUUUUAUUGAUCAUAUAGUGAAGAGACAAGAGUUAAAAUUGGGCUUGGAGUGCGAAUCGGGUGGCAAAGGCGGCGUGAGAAGCUAUCAUUGCAGGAAAAUUGCUGCUUUGACUGGCAGAACUUAAUUGCUGAAGCCUCUAGACAAGGAUACGACGGUGAAGAGGAACUGCAGUGGGAUUCCUACAAGAUCUUAGAUGAAAAGCUUACAGAGGAGUAUUCAGAGAGUGUGGAGCAAAGGAAAAUUAUGCGUAGGCCAAAAGGAAGCAAGAGAGCACCCAAGUCUCUCGAGCAAAGAAGGAAGAUUUCACAAGCAAUCUCUGCAAAAUGGAACGAUCCUGUAAGUGCAAAUAUGGUAAUCUUGAAGUUUUCAUUGCUAUAUAAAUUGUUUCAAGACGAUUCCAUUACAAGUUAAAGUUUCCACUCUAAUUGUUUUAAAUGGUAUGCAUAAGUGCCUAAAUGAUCUUUGCUAUUACAUGUUUGGUAACAGUAGCAGGAACCUGAGCCUUGUUUUCUUUAAGAUUGUAUUUUACUCAUAUAAUUCAUGUGUCAGGAUUAUCGCGACCGUGUGUGCUCUGCCUUGGCUAAAUAUUACGACACAUCGUAUGGACCUGAUAGAAAGCCAAAGAAGAAGCCAAGCAGUAGUUCAGAGUCCACAAGAAGGAUCCCUGCAAAGAAAAAAGUUAGUGAGAAAACCAAUUUCUCUAGUAGCGAGAUUAAAAUCCAAAAGCAACGACUGAGGUUGAGAAGUAAAGCACCCAUGUACAAGGAUCCUCUCGCGAGUUCUAAGAUGGAGAUGAUAAAGAACAUCAGAGCACAAAGAGCAGCUGCUGAAACCCAAAAAAGGGAAGCCGAAAGAGCUAGGUAAGUUCAUUGUGUAUAUUGAUUGGUUUGAAAACUCUAUGAACUCCUAACAGGGAAUCACUAGCCUGAAAAUCGUAUCUCCCCUUCUUUGGUUUCCGUUCCAUCAGCUGUCUUGGUAUUUCGCAGGUUAUUGAUUGCUGAAGCUGAGAAAGCGGCCAUGGCCCUUGAGGUUGCUGCAACAAAGAGCCCUGUUGCUCGAGCUUCCCUUGUUGAAACCCGACAGCUUAUAGCUGAGGCAAUUCAGUUUAUUGAAUCUAUAGGGACGGCACAGAUUUCUUCCUCCGAGAAUGAAGACCCUUCAGUUGCGUCGAAUGAAGACCCUUCAGUUGCGUCAAAUGAAGCGAUUAGUCGGGAUGAAAAGGAGACAUAUACUGGGGUUGGGGCUGAAGCAGAUAAUGGAAGUGUAAAUGGCAUCCAAACUUUGUCCUUCCAUGAGAAUGAAGACCCUAUAUUUGCAUCAUACGAAGUGAUUAGUGAGGGUGAGGAGGAACCAUGCACUGCGGUUGGAGGUCGUACUGAAGCGGGUAUUGCAAAGAUAAAUGGCACGAAAACCUUAUCGAGUACAAACGAGGACUCCAGCUUUGGCAACUUCACAUCGGAGGAUAUGCUAGAUGCUGAAGAGGACCUUUCCCCAUUGCAGGAUUUGCUGAACGCUCUCGAGGACCCUGCCCCAUUGGAGGAUAUGCUAAAUAGGGAAGAGGACCUUCCCCCACCGAGCACCAGUGGAUAUGGUUUGCCUCCGUUUGGUUUUGAGGACCUAAUAAAGCAAUCGGAUCGGAGCAAUGAACCCAACCAAUUACAUCCAAAUGGGGACAGUGAAUGCAGCAAGAACCUUCAACUCAACGGCACCAAAGUUCAGUCCAGAGAAGAGGAAACGCCUUGUAAGCCAGCGACCGCCGCUACUAAAAAGUGGAUUCGCGGGAGGCUUGUUGAAGUAGGAGAAGAAGCUUAGUGCUAAGAGAGGAAUCACAACAAACUGUACUGCAACUGUUGUUCCUCAAGAUUCUCAAGUUUUGAGCUGAAUUUGGUCAUAUCGGCUUCUACCAAGCAGCAGUUGGUGUUCAUCGGUCGAGUCGUUAAAUUUGGCUACCGCUGUCCUCGCGUAGAGCCAAUGCUUAUUCAUCGACGAUGAUUGUUAUAUAUGAUACUGAAACUAGUAUUAGAGUUUCAGGGAGCUGCUCUCUCACUUCUGUCAGUACCAACAAAGAAUUGCUUCUGUAAUCUUAUUUUAUAUACUGAAACUAGGUUACCAAUUUUACACUUUUUUAGUCUGUAAUAUGGUGUAUUUUUUACUGCCUUGUGCAGCCUCCUUUUGUUUUUACCACACGGUGAAAAUUUGAUAAACCACUCCUCUUGUUUUAAUUUUAAGCAACUCCAUCUGUUUCCUCAUGGCAGAAGGCUGGAAAAGUUACUAUUCACUUUGAAUGGAAAUUGCUCUAGCAAGUUUCCAUCCAUGCAGAAUUGUCGUGACCAAGGUAUAAAAUAUCGAUGAUAUCGGAAAUAUCGGUAGUCCAAAAACACGGAAAUUUCGAUGGAAAUAUCGGGAUAUUAUCGAUAUCGAUAAAAAUUGAAUAAAAACCACGGAAAUUGUAAGAAAAACCUGGAAAUUUUUAUUGAAACUUUGCAUGAUGUUUAUUUAGUCAAUUAUCUAUUAGUUUAUCACAAAAAAUUGGAACGAAAUGCAUUGCAUGAUAGAUAUAACUGAUUUAAGUUGAUUAUAUAGCAAAUUGGCAAACAUUGUGAGUGUAGAAAAUAUGUAGUAAUUAAUGAAAGAAGUUUAAACACACCAUAAUCAUUUAUAUAUAAUGAAUUAGUACAAUAUUUUACACUUUAUACAUUGCAUGGUAAGAUACAUGAGUGACUUAGCAAGGUCUAAAAUAUCGAUGAUAUCGGAAAUAUCGGUAGUCCAAAAACACGAAAAUUUCGAUGGAAAUAUCGGGAUAUUAUGGAUAUUUUAGACCAUGGUCGUGACAGUUACUUUUUUCCUUUUUUAAGUAUAUAAUUCAAUUAUUGUCACUCAGUAUUACGAUCUAGUAGUAUUCCUCUUCACUUGGAAGUGAGAGGUCUUAGGUUCGAAUUUUAUGGAUAACGAAUUCGAUACCAAAUUAGGCUGUUCAUCGUAUGACUUGAACUCUUCCUUCUUUUAAUGUUAAAAUAUUGAUAUUAUUUAAUAAUUAUUGGAAGAGUAAGACUAAUUUUGAAUAAGUUGCUCAAAAUGCGCCAUAUGUCCAAAUCUAUUAAAAAUCGCCACUCAAUAGAACUCUGUUUGAUACUCUACUUGAAUCCAACUUUUUAAAUUAAAAAACAAUUUUCAAGUUUUAGGCUUUAAAAACUUGUUUGGUAUGAUUAUUUAAAAAAACUGAACUCAAGACUAACUCAAAAAUAUAGUUUAUUCUAUAAAAACAUAAAAAGUGAGUUUUUAAACUUAAAAUCACUCAUUUCUUUUCUCUCCCUCCUCCCCUCUCACUCCAAAUCUAUAUCUUUCUUCUUUCUUCUUUCUCUCUCCUUUUUUUUUUACCUUUUUCGUCUCUUCUCCAAUCCGUUCUCAUCAUUCUCUCGGUUCUUUCUCUCACUCAUCUUCCUCUCUAGCUCGUCCGAUCCUCUCUCUUAUUUCUCUUUCCAUCAACCAUCUUUUACUUUAUUUCCUCCUCACUCCUCUUUCUCCCUCUCCUGCACCGCCUCUUUUUAGAUCUUUUUGUCUAGUUUAAGUCAUAAGGUUUAAAAAUUUUAAAUCGCGAACCAAUCAAGUUUUUGAGUCUUAAAAAAAAUUGUUUUCAAGAAAUAUUUUUAAGAAAUGUUUUGAAAAAUGAUAAAAAAUUUCAAAUAUGAUACCAAACAGCCCUAAAUUUUUUAACUUCUCUACCACGAGUCCUUAUAUAACUUUGAGCUUAUGAGGCAUGCCUUUGGUCACAUCUUCUUCGACGAAACAACAGUUGUCGUCUGCAUCCGUCAGGUCGCCGAGUUGGCUUGAAAAGUAGCAUUAGAGUUUCUUAUGAACUCCAAUGGCACCUCCUAGUGCUGGGUAGCACCAGAUUCUUUGGCGCAUUAUGUUGGAUAAUAAGUUGUACACACAGACAAAUAAAAGCAUAUAUAAGUAACUUACAACAUGAAACACCAACGGUUUAUGAGGCUGAUGGUAGAUUAACUAACUAGAACUAGAAGCACUAGUCUCAGUCUCAGGAGGUCAGGCGUCGCCCUCGCAGCGGCUGCCGUUGAGUUUGGAGUCGACGGCCUUCUCCACCUCCCGCCUCUUUUCUUCUUUCUCCUCUUUCCCUUUCUCUAUCACCUUCUGUACUUGUUCCUCCUACAAAACCACAAAGAAAGACCCCCCAUCGGACAUGAAACAUCGAAAGGGUUGGGGAUUCUCAGAAUAUUUAAAGCAUCUCUGCUAUGAUAGAGGUGCCAUAAAUAUGCUCAUCAAAACUUUCAUGCCAUGUUUCGUGCUAUAAUAUAUAUGUAAAACAAACAUGUGAAGGUAUGAAGGAUUGUUAAAGAUUGGAAGUCAAAAGGAUCAUAAAAGACAUUAUAAGGAGUUGAGCUAUGUACCGUCUCAUUUGCUAAUUGAUUUCGAGAUUAAACUUCGAACUUUCUAGACUUUCUUCGAUAGUAGGUUAAGCUAUAUGAGUAUCCCAACAACAGACUUCACAUCACUUAAUUUGGGCCAAUUGAUUUUGAGAUGAAACAUUGGACUUUUAAAAUUUCUUUUAGAGAAGGUUUACCUAUAUAUGAAGCCCAACCACGAACUUCACGUCAUUAUAUUUGUACUAAUUGAUUUUGAGAUGAAAUCUCCAACUUUCUAAACUUUUUUGGAGAGUAGGGUAACCUAUACGUGCAGUCAAACCAUGGACUUCACGUCACUCAAUUUGUUCUAAUUGAUUUUGAGAUUUUGAGAGUAGGUUAACCUAUAUGUAUAGUCCAAUUACAAACUUCAAUCACUCGAUUCGUUCACGAUUAACAUUUUAAUUUAAAAACACAAUAAUACAUGUGAGGAUGUGAAGACUUAUCCACACUAAAAGUUAACCUAUAAUGACUUAUAUAGUAGUGUUCCUAUUAUUCCAUUUUCACUUGGAUUUCAAGAAAACUGACCCAAAAAAAAAUAUGUGCAGGACAUCGACUCAUUAUUAUAGAAACAUAGCAUAACACGAUACAUUAAAAAAUAAUAUAAAUUGUCAAUUAAUUUUAAAGUGAAAUCUCAAAACGCAAAAGAAAAUAUAUAUGCCUUAAAGAAGGAAUCCCUGUUAGACAAGGAACAUGAAACGGAGCAUAACGUACAUCAACGACACGAGGGAUAGGCAGCCUAUGUCCAUGAACGGCGGCACGGUUGGGCGCUUUGACUGUCAUAAAACGCGGCAGCUCCGCCUUGUUAGGGCAACCCGGUGCACUAGGGCCAGUAAUGCCUCCAGCUCUUGACCACCAUCGAAACACUAGUCUUCCCUGCUGCUGCUUCAUUAUUUUCCUACAAAAUCCUUGGCUUCCCCUUUUUUAUUCUCAUGAGCGAGUGAUGAACAAAUGAAGCAUUUGACACGUGGCAUUUACAUGGGCCGCCACAUGUCCUCUUAGUGAGACGUGUCACACUCUUUUAAAUUAUUGAAACUUGUAGAAAAUGCUAGAGCUUGCUAUUUCCUUGGAUCCCACUAGAAAUGAUUUGAUUCUGAACGCUUUGUUUAUCACACUU
rnacentral:lncRNA from 1 species